UUUUUUUUUUUUUUUUUUUUUUGUCAUCACUGGGGUAUCCGGGCAUAUGAUAGUGAUUGCUAAAGCUUGACCGCUACUUUCUUAAUAUCAGUUUAGGGAGGCUGGAGGUGUGGGAUAGUUAGUGCUGGUGGGCCCGACAUGAAAGACCUUGACAAUUGUGGCUGAUUAUAUCUAUUUCUGCUUGGCAGAAAUGUUAAAAAGUGUUAGCAAAAUUCAGUUGGUGUAAAGAUUAACGUGUCACCUUAACAGAACAGUGAUUUGUGAAGUUUAAAAUUUAACAUCCCAUGGUGGCCUUGAUUUUUCAGAUUACUGAAUUAGUAACAGGGGGUUUAAAACUAAGGACGUUAUGUCUUACGUUGUAGAUUGGACCUGCUAACCGCUGUCCUGAUCUGGUAGCUUACUGAUGGAGCAUGCAACUAAUGGUUGUGUCACGGUUCUUAUUAGCUUAUGGUUGUUACAGCACUAUUCCUUCUUACGAUAUACGGUGUCUGGAAAUUUUGACUUGAUUGUGUUAUGACUCCGUUAAAGAAAAGAAACUGAAGGUCUUUCACAUAAACAAUUUCAGGUGAGAAAAUUUCACCAAUUGAAGUGGAUGCCGUCCUGUUAUCUCAUCCAGAUGUUGCGCAAGCUGUAGCUUUUGGAGUCCCUGAUGACAAAUAUGGGGAAGAGGUAAUGUCAGACAUUUGUCAUUGAGUCACUUUUUAAUCUUUAAUCACCUAAUUGUUGUUGUCUAUAGCUAGCCAAGGACGAAAAAGUGUGCACUUGUCUGAUGUCUGGUUUCCAUCUGGCAGUUUAUUUGAAUUUCCUAGAAGUCUUUUGUCAAAAUACUCGGAUUGACUUAUGGUUGCGUUCAUGAACGAUUACUUUGUCAAAUUUCCUUUGUCAUCUGAGUAUGUUUUAUAGUUUCCUGUGAAGUUCUGAAUAUGCUUCAGCAAUACUAGAAGUCACUGUUGUAGUCAUAGGCUAGCGAAGCCUCGUAACUACCCACUCUUUGAUUGUCUAGCAUGUCUCUUACAAUGUCAACAUCUGCCCUCCAUCGUAGAACAUCUAACAUCCGUCUUUCCUUUCCUUACUGUGUAAACCUGUCCUUUUCUGAGAGCGGAUUUAUGAGGUUGAGUCGGUAUGAAUUUGGCUCUGCUGGAAGCCUGAUUUGUCUGCUAUUAGAAUGAUGUUGUUGUGAUGGUUGUCUGUCAUAUAUCUGCUUCAAUCAAAAGAUGCCAUCUGCUAGUCAUACAAUGUCUGACAUGUAUUUGUAUAGAAGGUUCAAUUGAACUCCAAUUUUUUGGUUGCACGCAAAAUUUUCCCUCCAAUUGUUCCUUUUUUUUUUUUUUAAUACAGAAGUAGAGUAAUUCAUGCUUCCUCCAUCUCUAUAGUUGUUGAGUUGUUCAUAUUCUGUCUUAAUUCUUUUGAUAACAUUCUAAUUUUUUUUUUGGUGUUUCCAGAUUAAUUGCGCGGUUAUCCCCAGAGAAGGGGCUAACAUUGAUGAGAGUGAGGUGUCGAGGCACUGCAAGACGAAUCUUGCAGGGUUCAAGGUCCCGAAGAAGGUUUUUAUCACCGAUUCUCUUCCCAAAACUGCCACAGGCAAAAUCCAAAGGCGAAUUGUGGCAGAGCAUUUCCUCGCACAGAUUUCUACUGCUAAGUUCCCCAAGUUUGGAGCCUAAAGAAAUUCAUGUUGUAUUGGCUAAUAUCCCUCCUGAGUACCGAAAUCAGAACGCAAAUUCCUUCCUCACAAAUACGUUGAUGAACCAAUUAAGAUCGCCAUAGAAUGAAAAUUUUUUGUUGUACAAAGGAAGAAAAUGUGAAAAAAAAGAAGAAGACAUUUUAGCUUUGUCCAGGUUAUUUUUAUUCUCAGCUGUCAAAGGUUUCGGUUGGGUGUUGCUUGAUGGGUAGGCCUUACGUAGCACUGGCUCGCAUUAAGACGGAGAAAUGGCAAUUUCUAAUGUAAUCAUGCCCGACCUUGUCGGAUUGUGAUGGUGGAGUUAUUCUUGUUGGAUAGGAGGAAUACAAUGCAUUUUACUUCCUAACAAUGAGAAUUUGGAAUAUGAUGAGUAAGUCGUACAACUGCCACUAGUAAAUCAAGCUCUUUGACGGGGUCAAUAGGCUUGAUACAUUGUUGAGUAAAUCGUUAAAAGUGGUUAUUGAACUAUUAAAAAUGGCACAAAUUAGUUAUCGAAUUUUUUUGACUGAAAAGGUCACUUGGUUCUCUAAAAUGAGCCUUUCAGAUCAAUUUGACCAAUUUAGUCGAUAAACUAAUCUAAAAAGUAAACUUGACCUUCUACUAUAGGUUCUUGAGGAUAAAUUUUUUUUUUUUGAUUGAUUUCUUAAAUAAGGAAAAAAAAUAAGAACAUAUAGUGCAGGAGUACUGAAUGUCUGAAACUUCCAGACUUCUGGUCAUUCUGUGGACUUUUGCCACCGGUACAGAAAAUAAGACUCCAUAUCAAGUCUGGUCACUGUGUGGGAUUUUGUCGCCAAAACUACGUAUAAACAGACCCAAUCUUGUUUAUAGGAGUAAAUCCAAACGGCAGAAGCAGGCAAUCCAAGCUUGUUAUAGGAGUUGAUUCCCAAGAGACUCAGAACCAGAGAAAAUUACUCUCGUCAAACUAUUACAUGAAGCGUGUUUUAUGCGACACCGACUCCAGGAUACCGGUGACUCGUGUGGUUUAUUUAUGUUUCACCUACUCCCAAGAUUUCAGAAGUAAAAUUCCCUCAAAACAGAUUUAAGUUUCAACUUCAUAAUAACCCUCAAGAUUAGGCAUAUCAUUUAUCACAGGAGCAACAAUUUUUGUGUCAUGAACAUCACUUUCAGUAAAACCUGUAACCUCUGAUAGUAACCAUAACACCCAAAGCCAGAAAAGAGGUGAAUUAAGAAAAGCACUAAUCUGCAAACAAGAGACUUGCCACAACAGUGGCAAGACUACAGCAAUCGAAAAUCAGGUAUUCAAAGGGGUAAACACAGAAACCUUGCAACAUAAAAACCACUGAAAUCCAUGUUAUAUAAUGCUAAAACUACUUAAGCUUCCUGACCCUCUUCGUCUUCUUCCUCGUAAUCAUAACCUUCCUCAUCUGCAGUAGCGUCUUGGUAUUGUUGGUAUUCAGAAACCAAGUCAUUCAUGUUGCUUUCUGCUUCAGUAAACUCCAUUUCAUCCAUGCCCUCUCCAGUAUACCAAUGCAAGAAAGCCUUUCUGCGGAACAUAGCUGUGAAUUGCUCGCUGACUCUCCGGAACAUUUCCUGAAUUGAGGUGGAAUUUCCAAUGAAAGUUGAAGCCAUCUUCAAACCAGUCGGAGGAAUAUCACAGACAGUAGACUUGACAUUGUUUGGAAUCCACUCAACAAAGUAGGAUGAGUUCUUAUUUUGCACAUUAAUCAUCUGCUCAUCAACCUCCUUGGUGCUCAUUUUACCUCGGAACAUAGCCGAAGCAGUCAAAUAUCGACCAUGGCGAGGAUCAGCAGCACACAUCAUGUUCUUUGCAUCCCACAUCUGCUGAGUGAGUUCUGGGACAGUGAGAGCUCGGUAUUGCUGUGACCCACGAGAUGUGAGUGGAGCAAACCCAACCAUGAAGAAGUGCAAUCUAGGGAACGGAAUAAGAUUGACAGCUAACUUGCGAAGAUCAGAGUUCAGCUGACCAGGAAACCGAAGGCAGCAAGUAACACCACUCAUGGUGGCUGAGAUCAGGUGGUUCAAGUCUCCAACUGUUCAGAAAGCAAUAUCAAUUUAGUCACUUGCUCAACUGUCACUUACAAAUUUCUUGAAAAUACAUAGCCAUCUGCUAGCAUCUAAGCAUUAGACUUCAUACUUACGAAAGGAUGUAAAAGUAUGGAACUCUCAUUUAAAAUCAUUGCUUGUAUGCAAAAAAUUAACUCUCAACCAAAACCUCUGAACAAUCUUAUCAAUCAACAAAAUUGAGUUCAAAUGACACAGAAAGCUACAAAAGAAACUGAAUUUGAUCCACUUGUGCUAAACAACACAUAAUACUUCAUGAUUCAGAUGGAGUGUCAUGAACUCCAAAUGAUACUUCAUAUACACUUCUGUAUAGAUUCUGAAAUCGUUCAUCUGUCUCCCAUUGCAUGAAUUUCUGUCAUCAGUUAAAUAGUGAUUCAUUGACAAACAAGCAAACCACUAAACGUUUAAAUCACCAUAUCUGCAUAUGCAACGAUGUAAAAUUUUCUUUGGAGGAACAAAUAGUCAUAAUCAGACCUGUAGUUGCCAACAAAUGCAAUGGACUUACAGCUGGGGGUGGUGAGCUUAAGGGUGCGGAAGCAAAUGUCAUAAAGAGCUUCAUUAUCCAGAACCAUACACUCAUCGGCAUUCUCAACCAGCUGGUGCACAGACAAGGUCGCAUUAUAGGGUUCCACAACAGUGUCAGACACCUUAGGAGAUGGGAAAACAGAGAAGGUGAGCAUCAUCCUGUCAGGAUAUUCCUCCCUGAUCUUAGAAAUGAGAAGGGUCCCCAUUCCUGAACCAGUUCCACCUCCCAACGAGUGACACACCUGAAAUCCUGAUACAUCAACAAAUAGGUUACUCGUCGGGUUUUACCCAUCCAAUAAAAUCGCCCAGAAAGCACAGAAAAUCUUUGCCAGCACAAAAUCGAAUCAACACAGCAAUUUCAAGUUAAACAAAGAGGCCAUUGCCAACCAGGCUUACGAGUUAAGAACCUGGAGAACUAUGAGUAUAUUUCAUCAGAUCUAGAUUAUUUUGCAUCUUUUUGUUUUUUUUUUCCCUCUCCGUCUCCAGAAAACCAAGCAAGCAUACUUAAAACAAGUCGUGAAAACAACCAGAAACAUACUACUAAAAGAUAAUCAGAAUGAAGCCACGACGAGUAAAGGAGGGAAUAAAAACAACCAAGACUUAAGAGUAGCAAAACUGACUAAUGAAUUCACAAAAUCAACAGAUCCACUAAAAUCACACACAAAUAACGCGUGAAGGUAAGACAUAAAAGAAUCUGUCAGAAACAAGGGUGAAGUACCUUGAAGGCAGUCACAGUUUUCGGCUUCUUUGCGGACGACGUCGAGAACGGAGUCAAUGAGCUCAGCGCCUUCUGUGUAGUGACCCUUAGCCCAGUUAUUUCCGGCACCGGACUGCCCAAAAACGAAGUUAUCAGGGCGGAAAAUCUGGCCGUAGAGCCCAGAUCUGACGCUAUCCAUGGUGCCGGGCUCCAGGUCCAUGAGGACGGCGCGCGGGACAAACCUCCCGCAGCUGGCUUCGUUGUAGUAGACAUUUACUCGCUCCAACUGCAAAUCGUUGUCUCCCUUGUACCUGCCGGUGGAAUCGAUGCCGUGCUCGGCGCACACGACUUCCCAGAACUUGGCUCCGAUCUGGUUCCCGCAUUGCCCUCCCUGAAUGUGCAAAAUUUCACGCAUCUUUUUUUGUUUUGGGUUCAAAAAUUUGAAACUAGAGAGGGCGAGAGUAGGAAAGCUCGACUGUAAGGAGAGAAAGCAGGGCUGAAGAGAGAACCGGUAUCUUUUCUCAGUUGGAGAGAGGAGAGUGAGGAGGGGAUUAUAUAUAUAUAUAUAUAUAUGUAUUAAGGGAUGAGUGGGGGCGCCGGAUCAUGGUGUUUGCUGUGACCCAAGUGGGAAUUUUUGAAAUUUGAAUUUUCGGGCAGAGACUGAACACCAAUUUUCGCCCCGUUUAACAAGUGAAUUUUUUUGAAUAUUUAUCUAAAACUUUGACCCCAUUUAGUAAAUAAAUUUUUUGAAUAUUUAUCUAAAAUUUUACUGUAAUUUAAUGUAAAAGUUUUUUAAAAAUUUUUAAAAUGUGUAAAUUUUUGAAUAUUUUGAAAUAUAUAGUUUAGAAACUUUGAAAAGUUUUUUAAAAUUACUGUAGUUAAAGUUUUUAAAAAACUUAUAGCAGACAAACUUGACAAAAAACUUGUUUAUCAAACAAGGCCUUCAAUUUUUUUUGUGUGAGAUUGAUUAUAGAAGAAAGUAAUUUUUGUUUAUUUGGAAAAUCAUUUUUCCUUUAAAAAAAUUUAUGUUUUCAAUGAGCACUUUGUUAGAAAAGUCAUUUUUUAUCAAAAAUUAUUUGUAUUUUUAAUGAACAUAUUUUUUAAUUACAUUCUUAUCUCAUACAGUUAUAAGACUUUUUUUUUUUACAAAAAUUUCCAAAAAAUAGUAAUUUAAACAUAUUCAUAAUUUUUUGCCUAGUCUAAAAUAUACUUCUAGUUAUGUUUGGUUAGUAGAUUAUUUGAAAUAAUUUUGUGAAAAAAAACUAAAACGUUUUUUGAUGUGAUGCAUGUGAGAUAAAAAUGUAACUGAAAAUUGUGUUAAUAAUACAAGCAAGUCAGUGUGUGUAAAUAAAGUGUAAAUAAUGGAUCUGUUUGGAUAAAGUAUUAUCUGAAAUAUUAUUUGAAAUAAUUACUAUAACACUUUUUGUGAUAUGAUGUAUGUGAAAUAAAAGAGAUGAUUGAGAAUAUAAAAAAAUGGGUUAAAAACUGUAUUUAUGAUGCAAAUGAAAUAUAUUAUUUGAAACAAUUUGGUAUCCAAACAAACCUAUAUAUAUUUGUAAUACAAACAAACUCGCUGGUACUUUUAAGAGGGUCGUUUACGCGCUUAAAUGGAGCGUGAGAGAGAGAGAGAGAGAGCACAAAACUGGGGGAAUGGCAGAACUGGGUGACAGUGCAAAUGUCUGAUGAUGCUGAUGCGGUAAAAUGGCACGUGAUCUGGGAAAUGGGCAUGUGACUAGCACUGAAAUGAUAUCAAAACACGCACCCUAAACCAGACCCCACCCCGCACCACCACCAAAAAAUAAAAAAUAAAAAAAGAAGAAAGAGCGUGCUGUAGCAUCGCAAAAGUAGAUGGUUAAACAAUAAUUUUUUUUCUUUAUUUAUAAGAAUUGUUCCAGGUUUCGUCAAAGAAGAACUCCUAAUUAAUAUCGCCACAUUCAUUGUCCUCACAAUUGUAGAAAAGCUUCCCUCAUUCCUCUUCCUUACAGCUUCUGAUCAUGCUGCUUGGCAUUUUGUAUUUUCAGUGUAGAGACUCCAACAAAUUGGCUCUUCCUUUGAAAAAAGGUAAGGCUUUUUCUAUAUCAGCACAAGCAUUACAAUAAAAGAGUACCAUAUGAUAAUUACAAUGGAUAAAUUCAUUAGUAAACACCAACUGCGAAAUAUUUGGACUUUGGACAAUCACCUUUUUAAACAAAGAAUGCGGUAAAAAGCUUUUGUAGUAGUAAAAGAUAAAGCCCAAUGCUAUCUCCAAAAUAAUAAUAAUAAUUACACAUUUAUUUACACGCUCUCUCUCUGACUUACCUGUAUUAUCAACAUAUUUUUCAAUCACUUUUUUAUUUUACAUAAUCACAUUAAUAAAGUGUUACAGUGUUUUUUUUUUAAUGAAAUUAGCUCAAUAAUAUACUAUCCAAACACACAAAAGCCCAAUAUUUGGAGAUGAUUGACUUCUAUCAAUCUACACAUGUUAAGAAAUGAGUUGAACUUAAUGUUGGAGCUUCAAAAAGCUUCCAAAAUGCCACGACGCAACUAGAGUGCAGGUGUUUAUCAUGAUUAUAUACCCGAAAACCUCAUGCUCGUUAUAUGUCGAAUUUUGGUACCAACCCAGAAUAAUUUUUACGGAUAUGAGAAAGAAGUCAUUCGUUUCUGCAAGGAAAUUGACGACAUUUCACGGUCUAACCCGACAUCUCUUAUUUACCCGUCAUCAAUGCAGGUGGAUGUUUACAGCUGCGGAUUAAUGUGGAUGUAGAAUUUGAUUUUCUUUUUCUAUUUCUUUUUUUAAAUAGGCCUACUACACCAGUCCCUACAAAUCCAAAUACUUUGCGGUGAGGUGAAGUCUUAAUCAGGCCCAUGGAAAUAUAGCUGUGUAGCAGAAGAACGAACAUAUAGCAGAAGCGUAACUUAGGACUUGGCCCAUAGGUCCCAUACCAAACGUGCGUCUCACUCGUUAUACUGACUCCAGAAGGGUCCAAAAAAAAAGCGCAUCAGCUGUCACCUGACAGAACAGUCAGGAACCUCGAUCACGAGGGAAGAGGGACCAACCAAAGGCCCAGUGGUAAUCCCAAGCCUUCUCAGGUUUAGUGGUGCGGAAGGUCAAGGGUUCGAACCUUGUCUUUCACAAAAUUUGUCACAAUAUGUGACGGUCUUCAUUGAUCAGUUUCGAUGGAGUUUCUACUCACAUCGAGUCCCCUCCCCCCUAGAAUAUGCUAGUUUAGAUUAUAGGAAUUCUAUUGUAUCGACAAAAAAAAAAAAAAGGAAAGAGGGACCAACCGUCGCGGAAGGUCAAGGGUUCGAACCUUGCCUUUCACAAAAUUUGUCACAAUAUGUGACGGUCUUCAUUGAUCAGUUUCGAUGGAGUUUCUACUCACAUCGAGUCCCCUCCCCCCUAGAAUAGGCUAGUUUAGAUUAUAGGAAUUCUAUUGUAUCGACAAAAAAAAAAAAAAAGGAAAGAGGGACCAACCGUCCCUGCCAGUUCACGGUCAAGAUUUGAUAAAAAAAAAUUAUACGAUUCAUAUUUCAUUUUAUAUUUCGAUUUUAAUAACAUAUGUGAAAUUCAUAAAAUUUUAUUCUAAAGUUACACGUUAUUAAAAGUAAGUUAAAUUAUGUGCAGAUAAAAUUACGACGUGUGCAAAAUACACAUAAUUGUCAGGCCGUUCCUGGUCCCGAUGGCGAGUGGCCGGACAAAUUCUGCAGAAUGCACGAUACCCAGGCUUGCUUUAAAAUGCCCUCAAAUCUAAACCCCAAAAAAGGAAAAGGGCAAAAAAAGAAAAAAAGAAAAAAAGAAGAAGCCACUCAAAUCUAAUCGAAACACACACCAAAAAUACACGCGCUUCAAAUCUCUGAUUAUUCAUGAAUGUACGCACGUUGAAGACUUGAUCCAAUUAUUAUUCGGAACCUUAAAAAAAAAAAAUCAGUCCAAAUUCCAAAAUCACAAUAACGUGGUCUCCACUGGGGAUGGGUGUCUGCCUGGAUUUGAUGUUGAAGAGAAGCAAAUGAGUCAUCAAAUGAGUGCCCAAGUAACCAUCAUACCACCUUCGGAACCAAGCAAAAAGAAGAAAAGAAUACCCAAUCCACAAGUCACAUUUUGCUUUCUUUUAACGUGCUGAUGUUCACCUUCCUGCUAAUUCAUCAACUUUUUUCUUUCCUUUUCUUUUUUAACACAAAAUUUUAUCACCCUUUUAAUGUCUUUUACUCUUUUUUAUACUGGUAGUAUUAGUAUUAGCUAGUUUUCAGGAAGUACACAGUGAGUGUGUUUGGAUAGUAAAUUAUUUGAGAUAAUUUUGUGAAAACAUAUUGUAAAAUUUUUUUGAUGUGAUUUAUAUGAGAUAAAAAGGUGAUUGAAAAAUAUGUUGAUAAUGCAAGCAAGUCAGUGUGUGUAAAUAAGGUGUAUAAUGUGCAUUCAAAACACACUUUGACCUAAGUGUUGGCCUUUAUCUAUGUAUCAUGGAGCUAGAGCCAUCCAUGUUCCAUCCUACAAGGCCUGUUCCAUUUAUUUUAUCUCAAUCCUUUUUUUUUUAAGGAUAUUUUAUCUCAAUCUUGAAAUCUUGAAAAUCUGUUGCAUCACUAGUUAAUGUAAUGAGUUUGAUCUCUUAACUCUUAUUGAUUUAUGUACCGAGGUUGCCAAUAUAAGUUGGCUAAUUUAGUAAGAACGAAUCACCUCUUUACAAAAAAUUUGCGUGUUCAAAUCUCACUGUUAGUGUGAGAACUGCAAUGAUGGACGAGCUAUAAGAAUCUUUGUAAGAAACUUGUGGUUCUAAGGGUAUGUUCUAAUUCGUUGUGGCGAUCGGAGUUAAAUCCAUCCAAAUCUUUUAUUACAAAAAUACAAAAUAUAUAUAUAUAUAUAGAGGUCUAUUUUAUUGGUCAAAGGAAAAAAUAUGAGGUUGCAAAGGAAAACAAUUAAUUGUGUAGUAAUAUUUUUAGUUUGUUGCAUAUCUUUUGAAAGUUUUGCAGACCAGAUGAAAACCAUGCAUGAUAUGGUAGACAAUCAAAACUAAUAUAAAAGCCGUACAGGCGUUCACGAAAUUAAAAAGGAAUAAUUUCACUCAGAUUCUCUUAGGUUUAAGAAAUUACACUUAUCUCUCUUGAUAUAGUUAAAUACCUAUAAUACCCUCAAUUUAGUAAACAAUUUUAAAUUUAAGACAAUAAAUUUACAAAACCUAAAAAAAAUAUAUUUUUCUAUCUCUUGUCUAUUUUCUAGUUAAUAUAAUAUCUUUUUAUUAUCUUUAGUUUUGUGAAUAUUAGCAAUUUAAAAUUACAAAAUCUACAAAGAGAGUAAAUUAUGUAUCAAACUAAAAGGCAAUAAAGAGACUCACAAUGAUAGAUAAAUAAAUAAUAAAAAUAAUGAUUGAAGUAGGAAAAAUAACUAAAGAUGUAGAAUUUGUCAUAUUUUUGUUUGUUGUUGAGAAAAACUUUUAUAAAAUAUCAAUAAUUACAUAAUGAUUUCUUUCAUUGGAUUAGAAUUUUUUUAUUAUGAUUUUAUUAUAGAGGUAGAAUUUAUUCUCUACUUUUGAGCUAUUAAUAUUUUUUAAAAUCAUAGGAGAGUUGUAAUGGUGGUUCUAAGUCAAAUUAGCUUAUAUUGAAAAGGUAUUUGAGUAUUGAUAUUUAAUUUGAGAGUAUAAAAUUGGUUAUCAAUGAGGGGUUUUUUGCGUGUGUGUGUGUUUUUUUUAUUGUGACAAGUAUUGAUACUGCAUAUGCAAUAUGAGAUUUUUUUGAUGACUACUUGAUUUUAGAACUUAUGAUUGGAUGGUUGUUAGGGAUUUGGCUUGUUGAUUUUUGCAAAGUGUGAAAGAAAAUGAUUAAGUAUACUGUAUUUUUCUUUCUUAGUUUUGUAUAAAAGGGCAAUUUAGGAUUUUUGAAAGAAAAUCUAAAUUCUUGGAUCUACAUUGUUACUAAACAGUAAAAAUAUGGGAGGUAUAUGUAAUUGUUAAAAUUUGAGCGGAGCUCUUUGUAAUUGUGAGAAAUCUCAGGGGAGGUUUGUGAAAUUAUCCCAAUUAAAAAUGGUGCAUGAUAUGCGGCUAAUUCCUUAGAAUAUUUGUAUUUAAAAAAAACAACCGCCAAAUACACCUCUGACAUGGGUGUUUCUCAUUCUAUAGCGGCCGUGCUGAGUCAGCACGGCCGCAUAAUUAAAUAUUCCACCGAAAUCUUGUCUGCAAAAAAUUCAGUGGUGCAGAGGGUGUCAGCGCGGACGUGCUGACUGGGCACGUCCGCGGCUGAAAAAGCUGCUUCUAGUCUGCACAUGUGUCAGACGGGGACGUGCUGACUGGGCACGUCCACGGGAGACACAAAAUCAGUGCUGGUCUGUUGUGUCAGACGCGGACGUGCUGACUGGGCACGUCCGCGUCCGACACAUGCUAAAAAAAUCCUCUCAACUCUGAGAAUUGGGAACUGAAACAAUCCUCCAUCCACCCAUCACCCAUAUAUUAUUGCCAACCAAAAAGACUGGAAACAAACCCAGAAAGAAAGAAACCAGAGAAGUAGAAUUGUCUCGGUCCAUCUAUUGGUCACCUCCCGACUCCGAAAGCCACAAAAGCUGAACCAUAGCCCCACCCCACCGCCACAUCACUCAGCCCUUAUAGUUUACUUCACUCUCUUCUCUUCUGCGCCAAUCAACAACCAAAAUUUGCACAAACAACCCAUGCCAUGCAUAAUUUGCUUGGAGAAUUUUAUUUUUUUAAAAAUCACCCUUUUACCACUUUCAUAAUGUGUACAUAUCAAUCAUAACGUCGUAAAUAGCGUAACAAAUAAUAAUGAAAUAUGUUAUUCAAUAAACAACUCACGCUUUGCGCCACUACAACAAGCAUGUUUUGAUUGCUAUAUAUAUAUAUAUAUAUAUAUUAUUAAGAAAAAUUUUAUUUAUACACUACUUAGUUAUUAUAUCUUUUUUCACUUCAUAUAAAUUACAUCGUUAUUAUUAUUAUAUAGUAUACUUUUUCGAGAUCUAUAUUAACUUAUCAAUUACUCGUACCUGUGUUAUACACCAUUCUAUAAUUAGUAUGUGCAUUAGAACUGUAGACUAGAUUUUAUCAUAAUACUAGUAUUAGGAAUGUAGUGAAAAAUUUUAUAUACACUCCCUAUAUUUAGUGCAACAUUUUGGGAAAGUAAUUAAUAUUCGUAUUCGAUCAUUUUAUUUGGGAUGUACAGAAGUUUGUUAAUGGUCAAUGAUAUUCUUCGUAUUCUAAAAAGAGUUAAAUGACAUAAACACUCACUUCAUAGAUUUUUCUAAUUUUUUAAAUGCCAAAAUACGCUCAAGGUAUAAUUUAACGAUAACUUUGUGUUACUUUUGUAGAAACCUUUUUUUAAUUUUAAAAAAAAUUCUAACAUUGUUUAAUAAAUCCUAAAGUAAUACACAAUUUCAAAAUAAUAAUAAUAAUAAUAAUAAUAAAGUUUAGUACUUUAUUGAAGAACUACUAAACAAUUGAUCAUGGUUGUUAAGAUUCACUUCUAUCACUAGUUGCAUUAUAAUCCAAGACUAAUUUAAGAGUAGGAAAAAUUAAGUGAUAAAAUAAAGAAAUUUACUACCAUUAAAUACAUAGAUGGGCACUUUUUUGUCUCCAAAAAAUUUUGCAGUUUUUUUGUUGUCAUUUUAUUAAGAACAAAAAAAGAAAGAAAGGAAGGAUGAAGUGUCUGGAGCAUUCUUCGAAAUGCUUAUAUCAUUUGCAUUGAUAUUGAUUGCAGUUUCAUAGCAUUUGCAUCCGUCUGACACAUGCACAGACUUGGAGUCAGUUUUGUCAGGCCGCGGAUGUGCCCAAUCAGCACGUCCGCGCUGACACCCUCUGCCCCACUAAAUUUUUUGCAGACAAGAUUUCGGUGGAAUAUUUAAUUAUGCGGCCGUACUGACUCAGCACGGUCGUUAUAGAAUGAGAAAUACUCCAUGUCAGAGGUGUAUUUGGAGGUUGUUUUUUUUAAAUACAAAUAUUCUAAGGAAUUAGCCAUGAUAUGCAGGUUCCGAAAAUAUAUCAAUAAACUGAUUUUGAAGGAAAGCGCUACAGCAUAAGUUUUUCACUGAGGAAAUCGCGGAAGAUCUUGCGCUUUUACGCGAAAGAGAUGAGGUCGGAAUCCCGCGAGCCCACGCUUGGCAAAAACCCUUGACCUCCCGUUUACGCGAAGUUGCCCUUGCUGGCUGCUGCCUAUUUUCAUCGUUCUUCUUUCUCCCAACUAUCUCCACCACUUUCUACUACUGUUACACUGCUAAAAUUUCACUACCUGAGGCAUUUCUCUUAUACUAGUAUAGGAACCAAUGGUGAGCAAGAGGCAGAAAUUGGCCCGCAAGCGAUUUAAAGAAGAGCACCCUGAGCUCUUCCCAAAGCCAGACCCAACGCCUCCCAAAGACCCAACCAAGAAGAAGAAAAAGUUAUCCAAAUUCAAGAGGGAAAAAACGGUUUCCAAUGACCCAAGUAAUCCCAAGAAAUCCUUUAAGGGGAAAAAGCACCCAUUUAGAAUUCCAGGUAUGAAGCCUGGCGACAGCUGUUUCAUAUGCAAAGCACCCGACCACAUUGCCAAGGACUGCCCUCAGAAAGCUCAGUGGGAAAAGAAUAAGGUCUAUUAUCUUCAAUUUACUUAUGAAUGUACAUGUGUGCGUGUGUAUAUAUAUAAACUAAGUAUUCAUGUAGUCCGGAACAAUCUGUGAUGGGAUUUUCGAUGGUUGUAGAUAUGUUUGUUAUGUCGGCAACGGGGUCACAGUCUUAAAAAUUGCUCGAAGCAGAAGGACGAUUCCACCGAUAACAAGUUCUGUUAUAAUUGUGGGCAGACGGGGCAUUCUCUUGCUAAGUGUCCACAGCCUCUUCAAGAUGGUAGUAUUUUCUAUUUGACCAAAGUUUUAUUUUUCCGUAGCCCUUUACUCAAUGUUACUAGUGGCAUUUUUAUGUGUUUUGACUUACUCUUCAUUGUCAUUGCUUGUUUUAUUAUUGGUACUUAAAUUUGCUUCUUAAUGACAUUAUGUUCCAAGUUGUUAUCUCUGUCCAACUCUGGAGGUUACCACUAGUCGGUUGAUGAUAUUUCAUUCAGUGUCUGAUUUUUCACUCUCCACCGCAGCCUGGGCAGUUGGAUGAACUUUUAAGACUAAAUCAUGCCUGUACACCUAGAAAUGGGAAUUAGAGACUAAGAGAUGAAACAAAGAUAUGUGGAUAUGCAUAGUUGUACACGAUGCAGUAUCAACGAUUAUGAGUCGUGAUUUCAAGAUAAUAGAAUCUUGUAUUGGUGGUUGUCAUUCAAUCAUUUAGUGCAUUUUUUAGUAUGCUGCAUCAGAUAUACUCCCCGAGUAAAUUCAAAGAGGUUCUUGUGAACUCAUAAAUAUUUUGAGGAAAAUUAUAUCUUGGUCAGUUUACAAACUUAUAAGAUUAGAAUUCUGGAGUUUAAUGUAGGGGGAUUCAAUUAGUAAGCUUUUGGUCACCUAGUUCCUAAGUUUUUUCACCUGUUCCCAUGGUUUAAUCAAACUAAAGAGUCCUGUUCCUAAGUUUUUUCACCUGUUCCCAUGGUUUAAUCAAACUAAAGAGUCCUGCCAUGGUCUUAUCAUUGACUAUCUUCUUGAUUUUCUUCCCUUAAAAAUGCAGGAGGAACACGAUUUGCCAAUUGCUUUAUUUGUAAUGAACAAGGGCACUUGAGUAAGAACUGUCCACAAAAUUCCCAUGGAAUUUACCCAAAGGUACAUGUAUGAUGGCUUGGUGUUUGAUUGAUCAAAUAGCUGUCUUAAAAGCCAACAUUAUAAAGUUCUUUUACUUGUAGGGUGGCAGUUGUAAAAUCUGUGGUGGUGUCACACAUCUGGCUAAAGAUUGUCCUAAUAAAAGCAGCAAAGCUUCUAAUGCAGUUGGAGUAGCUGGCAAAGCACGUAAGUUGUCUUUGUAUCACAAACAUUCAUUUUGAGCUAGUAUUUUGAAAAAGUUUAUUUUGCUUCCACUCAUUCAACAAUAUUGGUUACACUCAAUGAAGGGUCAAUAUACCUUGACUAUGAUGGUGGCUGUUGCCUGGUUCCUGUUUUCCAGCAUAUAUUGAGAUUAUAUUAGAGAUACUGUAAGUCUCAGUGUGUGUUUGUGUACUAGGGUCAGUUCUCAAAAAUUUGAUCUAGUAAUUGAGAAAAUAAAUAAAACAAAGACAUGUUUUAGAGUAUUGCUACAUGUUAUAUAACAAUCAUCGACCCAUAGUCAGCUGUUAACCCUCAUGAUUUACAGUAGUUGGGCUCCACCUAAUCUUGUGCUUAAACUUCAUUGUGUUGCAAUGUGCUUUAAUUUAUUACUAUCUAAUCUCAAACCAUGAGAUUCAUCAAUGCGGUCUUGAUUAAUACAGAUACAAAUCAUGUACCAUACAACUACUCUGUUUCAUUUGUUUAUCAUAACUUUCCCUGAGAAUGAUCUUGGUUGAGGUCAAUUUAUAAUAAAACCUUUGCAUUCCUAGUUCACUCCCAGCAACCUUACUUUUCUACAAGGAUUACCUCUUCUGGAGUAGUUGUUUCAUAAGUCUAAUAAGAGAUGAAUCAAGUAGUAACUUAGUCAUAUAAAAAUAUGACAGGAAUAAAGCAGUCUAAGUUUUUUUUUAGUAUCAAGUAAGGGGACCCCCUGCCACUGGGAUGAUUCGUUAGCCUAAUGAAUAGCGAGGUUUGACCUUGUGCUUUUUUCCACUCAAGUGAGAAAUAUAAUAUGCAGUGAGCAAAACUGCCGGGAACUGUGUACAGAUGAUUUGUAGUGAAUUUGGCCUUGGCUAUUCCUUUUGUGAGUGCAUGACUUUAAAGUCAAGCUCUUGUGAACUUUUGUGGGGGAGGAAAUUGAUGCCACUUUGGGCGUUGUGUAUGCUAUAUUGUGCUUUUAAGUUCUGAUAAAUGGCUUGGUUCAUUCUCUGUUCUGAUGCAACCUAAUUUACUGUUUUGCGGUUAACAAAUACUGAUAUUUUCAAUUUUUCAUUCACGGGCAGCUGAAAUUGAAGAGAGGCCUUGAGGACAAAUCACCAGGUUUAUCAGCGGUGAUGAUCUUGAAGAUGACUUCAUGGCAGGGGAUACAUUUAGUGGUAACAAAGACACGCCCUCUGAGCCCAUGACCCCGGCACCUGAUUCAAAGCGGAACGUAAAAUUGAAGACAAGACAAGGAACCAAGGUUGUGAAUUUUGUAGGUUAAUACCUAGCAAGGUUUGGAUAACAAUAGGGCCACAUAAUCUUGCAGUUCGUGAGUCAGUUACUCCAUCUUUUACCAAGUUAUGAGAGGCAGCUAAUCAGAUUCCCACAAAUAUGGUGCUAGCCUGCACUUUUUGGUCUGUGGUUACCUGAGCACUCAGUUUGAGGCGUGCACAUCAUAUGUAUGUUAUUGAUAAAAGGUCGAAUUGAAUGAUACCAAGGGAUUGCUACUGUUUUGGCCAGAUGCAGGUGACAAGACAUGUUCUUUUGCCCCCAUUAUUAGCUAGCUAAUUGGAUACGACUUGUAUGGAAUGGGUAUAUACUUUGAAAGGAGGAUAAUAGCACCUCCCAAAAUUUUGCUGAACUUGCUGUAUGUGUUACAGUUGAGAGUUGAAAAUGCACUACUCUCCCAAGAUUUUGUUGUAACUCGUAAACAUGAGAGAGAUAAGAGCAGCGUCUCCCGUUCUUUUCAGUCGAGUGCUGUUACCUGUUACUAUGUGAAAGUUAUGCUACUAGAGAACGACAUUCAGCUAUAUGUAUAGAUCAUGGUUUACCAAAGCAAGAUCACGAUAUUCAAUGAAAUAGGCAUUUCUUUUCUGGGAUGGAAGAAAUCUGGAAUAAAAUGGAAGAGUAAAAUGGAGUAACAAAAAUGCUUAAACGUGGUCAUUGGUAAUUUAUGCUGUUGAAGUAGGUAAUCCAAAAUAUUAAGUAGAAAGUUCCAAGCUAAAGUUAAAUUGAAACCAACCGUAAUGGGGGCCCCAAAAAAAAAAAAAAUCGUAACCCGUAACCAUGAUUUCAAUUUCUUUUUGGGGCGUAAUUAUUGUGAGACAAGGGAAGGGACGAUUAGGGAGAGGAAAGCCGACGGUCAUGCAUGGCAAUUUGUGCAAUGGCUACGUGGGGAAACAAAAUAAAGAGUUUGUUGUGGACAUGAUCAGCCCAAGAGGCGAGACAAUUCUCAACCCUUAUUUUUUUCCUGGAAAUUCUAUUCUUCCCCGCAUUUUUCUCCUCUAUUAAAACUGUCAAUAUCUUCAUCAUUUCAAUUUUCAAGGAUCUCUCCUUCCUAUUGUCUCAUCGUUCUUGUUUUUCCUCUCCUCUUUCCUCUCUUCUUUUCGUUUGUUUGUAUUGCAGGGUUCCUUUACCCAUUAUUUGAAGAUUGCAACAUGGUACGUUCUAUCUUUCUCUAUCCCCUCAUUCUCAUGCAUAUUAUAUUUGGCAACUUAAACUUCCUUUGGAACACAGAAUGGUAAAUUAAUUUGUUUCUCUAUCUACCCAGAUCUUUAAAUCCAUUUUGAAAUUCUUAUCAUCGUAUGUAAAAAAAAAAAUAAAAAAUUUCAUGUUCAAUGUGUAGACAUUCGCAAAUCAUUCCCUCUAUCCAAUUAAUAAACUUUCUGAAAGGCCCUUAAAGGACUUAAUCUAGAUUGAUCAUUAUUAAUGAACCACAUUUUAAUUGUUUGAUACGAUCCCCUAGAAAUGUGAAAGAAGCUACCAAUGUAUUCACCCUCCUUGUUAAAAAUAAGAAGAGAGGGACAUAUAAGAAUGGCUAGGCGAUGUUCAAGGAGGUAACAAAAAGAAAAUGGAGAUUUGUUCAUGUAAACACGUCCUGUUUCUUAUGCUAUUUUUUUUUUUCAGAAUUAGAGCCCAAAAUCAGGCUAAUUUCGUAUCUGUUGAGAUUUAUGGCAGUGAAAUUACUUUGUUCAUCAAAAAAAAAAAGAAAAGUUUAUGAUAUACCGUUAUCAAAUGUGAUUUUUCUCCAACAUUUGUCAAUUAAUAUGAGCUGUUGCGUUUCGUAAUCUUUCCAAUUAUGAAAACAUUUUUGACAGGCGAAUGCUACAUCUGGAAUGGCUGUGGAAGAUGAGUGUAAGCUGAAGUUUUUGGAGUUAAAAGCCAAGAGAAACUAUCGUUUUAUUAUUUUCAAGAUAGAGGGUCAACAGGUGGUGGUGGAGAAGCUUGGGAGUCCUGAAGAAAGUUAUGACGAUUUCACUGCUUCUCUGCCAGCCGAUGAGUGUCGCUAUGCUGUGUUUGAUUUCGAUUUCAUCACCGACGAGAACUGCCAGAAAAGCAAGAUUUUCUUCAUUGCUUGGUAAGGUCUUUAGCCAACCUCGUUGCCUUUUUUUCGUUCGAAGCCAUUUCAAAAACCCGCAAGACUUCAUUUGCUAAAUACAUCUUUCGAUCCUGAAAACUUCCAUAAACUAUUUUUGAUUGUCACUCAUUGAACAGUACAAUUCAGACGCACGUAUCUUGUUAGUAUUUUUUUUUUUGACGUGUUGAAGUUACAAAAGUUGUAUGGCGUGAUGCAAUAAUUAGGUCCCCAGACACAUCGAAGGUGAGAAUGAAGAUGGUUUAUGCGAGCUCAAGGGAUAGAUUCAAGAGAGAAUUGGAUGGGAUUCAAGUGGAAUUGCAGGCAACAGAUCCUAGUGAGAUGAGCUUUGACAUUAUAAAAGGACGAGCACUCUGAAUAUAUCACCUUCACUUGAUCGCCAUCACGGAGACUCGGACUCUUUUUCUAGUACUAUAAUUCCCAAGCAAUGUUAUCGAUUCGUCUUCCCUUUUUUUUCUUUCUGUUCUUAUUUUUGUUUUGGUUCCCUCAAUUCAAAACUAAAACGUGUAGUGUAAUGUAAUAUUAUUGCAACCACUGUGUAAUUUGAGAUUCAUAGUCUUAGCCUAAUAUACAUUGGCUUGUAACAGCCUUGAUCAGCUCACUUGAUUGUGAAUUCCUGACCUGCUCUCUACGGAGGAACACAUCAAAUUACCAACUCAUGCCUUGUUUAUAGAGAGAGCACAAUUUAGAACGAUAAACAGAUAUUAACUGGACGUGAAUGUUUAAUACACACACACACACACACACACACACACACACACACUCUAUAUAUAUAUAUAUAUACUAUAUAUAUAUAUAUAUAAAGCAGUGAGAGCAAAAGAUCUCAUUUGAAGUUUCAAAACAUUCUUCGUUGCAAAAUACUCCUGAUUUUCCUUGUACUACAGUCACAAUCUUUAGGUUUGAAAGUUGUCCUCAAUGCAUGCGGGGCGAGAUGAUUAACCCAUCCUAUAUGGACAAAUUUCUUUUGUAAGUUUGACCGUGGGCCUAUUCCCGUGUAAUUAUUUUGACUGAAUUUAGAUUUGGAUUUAGGAUAAACUUUUUUUCCCCGCUUUGCUGUUGCAUCUUUUAAUAGUUUUUUUAAACAGUUUAAAAAGAUAAAAUCUAGAAUAUACCCAAAAGUAGUUUUAAGUGAUCUGAUUUUGCUAAUCAAUUUUGACAAAAUCAACAAUGAACGAGAACAAACUGCCGAGUGGUUUUGGUGAACGAGAAGCCAAAUUUUGGGAAUGUAUUUUGAAAAGCGAGUGAUGCAUAACAAUUGUUAUCUAUGCCUCGAGACGCAGAGCCAGCAAACAAGAUGAUGGCAUGAAUUAACUGUACGUGCUCAUCUUUGAGUUUUCCAGUACUGUUUUUCCCACUUCUGUACUUGCUCUAUCGAAAUUUCUUUUCUCUGCAAAACUGAACGAAGAGUAGCAGGAUCAUAAGGAGGAGGCAUAGUACAUGGAGGCACCCCAGAGGGUCCUGCAGCAAAAGAAUCCAUCAUGUACUUCUUAAUUAAUCCCUCCGCUGGGCAGGCCAUUGACUCUGAACACAGCUCUACUGCUUGUCGAGGAACAGUUGGCUUGUACGUUAGAAGCUUACCAUACUCUGCCAACAGCUGAUACAUGUAAUCGUACACAUACUUCAUGUUUAAUUCCUCCUGAAUAAAUCUACUUGCUGCCUUGCCAAUAGCCUGUGCCUGUAAUAUCCAUGCAUAGACGCGUAUCUGUUAGAAAGCGUAUCAACUUUGAAGCUUGAUACACUGAUCAAACACCAUGUCAAGACUGGAAUUAGUUCAUAAUCAAAGUUAAGGGCAUACCUCUUGCUGAUGGCUAUUGCCCCAGUCGACUGCAUACUUGAUUGAUCUGCCCAUGGUAUCAUCUCUUAUGGGCCAAUAGUGUUGCAAUGGCAUCAAACUUCUUGUGAAGAAAUCAUAGUAAUGUUGCUUCACUAUCAGAGUAAGAGAAUCACAGGCAAGAAUGUAUUUUUCGCUCACAGACCAUCCGAUUCCUUCUAUAUAAAUUUUGUAUCUGUUCGGUUCAUUCAAGGGAAAAGGAGAGAAGGUCAAAAUCAAAAUUCACUCGAUCUGGCAUAGAGCAGCAUAAAAUUAAUGGAGAGCCUGAGUGCCCAGCUUCCACAGAAAUGACAGCUGGAAUGAUUGAGGAGCUAGAAAAUGAGCAAAAAUGUUCGCUUGUCAUUUUCAUCUUGUACCUGUGUUUGCAUUGGUUUGCUAAAUCGGAAUUUUUGAAACCUUCCUUUUGUUCUCGAUGCCAGUCCUGUAAACUAUAACUUGUUACAGACUGCCAAUGGGCCAUAAAUUUCAUAUGCAGGAGUACCAUUCAGCUAAUAAGUUUUUGUAUUUUCUUUCUUUCUAUAAUGCUUAUGAAUUACGGGAUAAAAGAAAAUCUGGGCACCUAAAUUCUAAUUCAAAGAUGAAACGGAAAUCUUGAAAACGAUAUAUACACUUAGGUUCAAAAGUAGAAUGUGGGAUAGCAUGCAAUAUUCAAAGAAUUAUGUGGCUAUGGUCAGCUAUAGUAAAGAUCAUCGGAUUUUAAUACCCGUCAGAACCUGCGGCCUAGUAGGUAAAUCUUUGAGGGAGACAAAAUCGAACAUUGAAAAGGAUGAACCAGAUUCCAUCACAUGUAUCAUCUGCCUAAAAUGGUUUUGGAUACACAAUAUAUGCAGUAUCUAUUACCUGAGCAUAAAUGCGCAGAUUCCAGUCGUGUUCAUCCGAAAGAUUGCACCUGAGCAAAUCCAUCCUCUUUGGUGAAACAUGAGGAUUGCCCUUCCAAAAUGCCAACGGUUCUCUGUCCAUCCAUUUUCUUCUUUCAUUCGCUUCUUUUAGGUCCUUGGACAAUGGUUCCCAUGGCUUUAUAUUAAUUUCUGGCCUGAAACAUUGAAAGUUUUUACCAGUAUCAAUAAAAAGGAAAGGUUCGUAUCAAUUUAAAUAAGCAUUAAAUCUGCUCUCUUUAGAGCACUUCUAAGGAUGUGAAGUCCUUAAUGAAAAAUUCACCGCAUGUAGUUGCAACAUGCUAGAUUUAUAGGUAAUCAAGAGAUUUAGAGAUAUAUUCCAACUCUCAAUUGCGUUAAGUAAUCGACUCGCCAUACUUGGGAAACAAAAUCAGAAGCAGCGGCUACACUUUUGGGUCAGUUUCGGGGCGGGGAGCCGAAGAGAGACCAGAAGAAUGAUUCAUUUGGAUUUCUGUUUCUGUCGCGACUGACGAAUCACAGUACAUAUCCAGUACAUGCUACCUUAACACCAUUAGUUAAGAUUACUAAAAAGUGGAGGAAAUGCUUACCAUCCCCAGAACGACCAAUCUGGAAAGACAAUGUCGAAGGUGGCAUCAUCCCCGUCAUAACUGAAUAAAGGUGGCGGUGCCUUAGCAUUGGCACUGGGGUAAUAUUCUCGCACAAUAUUGGGGCGAUCACCGCAGGUGAAUAUGAGGUCCAAAUCAGGCAGUCGGCCAGGGUGCCGCCGCAGCAACUGUAAAAUCCCCCACUGGGUAAAGAUGUCUCUAGUCUGAAACGAAUGCUUAUACGUUUCGACAUAAGCCGUGCCAUUCACUAUCACCAACCGGAAAGCAGCAUUCUUAUCCUUGGCUGCCUCAACCAUCUCCGGCGUGAUUCCCGUCUUUCUCCAAGGCAAUAAAUCUUCGUGUAUCCAACGGAAGUAUUCUGGGCAUUGGGGUUGCUGGGCCACUGCUUCUGACUUCUCGUAAAAAUCUUGUGAUGAGUAUUUUGAUGGGUAGUAAUUUGUUGGGCAAGUUUUUGUAACGUUAGCAAGCGAGCAAUUCAGGCGGAAUUCGGUUCUAUUCCUGUGCAACUUUUUCCCCGCGGGAUGAGUGUAUUUGUAAAAUGGUAUGCGGGGGAGUAUUGAUUUCUGCUGGAAAUUUCCAGCAAUUGACUGCAGAAUAUAAUAUUGAAUGUAAUGUAAAAGUCAGUACCAAUCAAUCAAAAUCUUAAAGGUAGCGUGUGGAGAAUAGAUUAAAAGGAUAAGACACAAGGAAAGGUACAGGGCACCGUUUUUCAAAAGCUAUGAGCGAUUGACCAAAGACUCCCUUCUCGCAUUUACUUCCAAUCUUUUUUCUUUCUUUGAAUGAUGUUAUGUCAUUGUGGAAAUUUUCAUUAAGGUACAAAACUCAUUUGUCAAAGACAUAUCAAUGGAAAGAUCCUCGAUUGCUAUCUUUUUCAGUACUAUUUGCAACUCUUGGAUAAUGUUGUCUAUUAUUAAUUAUAUGAGUUAAUUUUGUAUAUAUUGAUUAUGCAUAUACUAGUGAUAAGGGUUUGUUUGGAUAGUGUAUUAUUUGAAAUAUUAUUUGGAAUAAUUACUGUAGCACUUUUUGUGAUGUGAUGUAUGUGAGAUAAAAAAUAGUUGGGAAUAUAAAAAAGUAGGUUGGAAAAUGUGUUUGUGAUGCAAGCGAAAUAUUAUUUGGGAUAAUUUUGGUAUCCAAAAUGUGUAUAUAUUAUUGGCGUUUUAACAAAAAGUAGAUAUUAGUGGCUAUAUGUGCAUGCCACAUAAUUUUAUGGAAUUUUCUCACCAAGUUAAACACUUAAGAAUCACCUAAUAAUAAGUGAUUCUUGUAUGUCUAAGUUGGUUAUAUCCUAUUUUUACUCAUUAAAUUGAUAUAUUGAUUGAUUUUCAAAUUACCAAGAUGCCAAAAGUAAAAUAUAUUUCUCCAUAUAUUGAAUGAUUUCAGUAUUUAAUUCACAGGGAUGAUAAAGUCCUCCUACAGUUCUGUUUGUAGUUGUGACAACUGACAAAUGUCGCUCAUUAUUUUGAAUGCUCUUGUCUAUUCAAUAAUAAUAAAAAUAAAAAAAAAAAGAAUGAACUUCCACAGACAGUUCCUUUGGAGUUGUGGCAAAUGUCAUUCAAAUUUUAGUGGCACAAAAAAAAAAGAAAAAAAAGGGAGUGGAUAUAGCAAAAGGAAACAGAAAAACAAAUAUUCAUCAAUGGUAAGAAAAUUGAGGCCAUUAUUUUCAAUCAAUUACAUACCCGUUAUGGGUUUUGCCUUAUUUUCUACUUAUAGUUAUUGUAUACGGUUUGUCCGACGAGCGUCCAUAUAUAGAGCACUCGUUAAGAUAUCUUUUAGGUGUUAUAUUUUUUGAAAAUAUAUGAUUAAUUAGAGAAAAUAAAUAAAUACAAGACAGGGUAGACAAGAUUAAAUAUGAAAAGUAUAUAAAUACAAGAGAAAAUAAUAAUUAUAGAAUGUGUAUAUAUAUGAUAAGUUAGUUGAAUACUAGGUGUAUUAACGAGUGCCCUAACGGCACCCACCUGUUAGAAAAACCCUGUGUGGUUUAGAUGUAGUUAUUUCUUAAAAUAAGGAAUAACCUGAAUAAAAAGUCAAGAAGUGAAUAAAGGCAUCCAAUAAUUUAAGAUACAAUGAACUUCAGUCAAUAUAAAUCCCCAAAAGCAUCUGUACAAGAGUAUAGUUAAGGCAUAAAUCAACUCCAAGAUACUGUGGUGUUACACCACAACUCCUAUAACAACUCUUUUUGUAUAUAUAACUUAAGUUAUUAGGUAAAUCCGCAUACUCAUAUAUGUUGUCUCUUAUAUUUAGAUUCUUAAUUUUUCGAAUUAGAUAUAAAUCGUUUAAAAGUCUUAGAAAAUGAAAUAAAGUACGGUUUAAUUAUGAGCCAUUGGUGGAAGACUUGAUUAACGAUUUUAAAAGGAUACGCAUGUAGUAGAUUUUCUUUCCCUUAUACGUAGUUGUAGAUCAUAAUCUCAAUAUUGACAAUAAUUGUAAUUGUAAACUGACUGCAUGUAUAUUAUAGUCAAUAUUAUUGACUAAAAUGUAAUCUUGUUGUAACUUGUAAACGUUCAAUUAGCCAAAAAAAACACACGUUAAUUUUUUUUUUUUUUUUGGGUUCCUUCAAGUCAAGAAAAUAUGGGAGAGUGGUGUCAGGUGUGAGAGGAGGGCAAGACAGAAAGAGAUCAAAGAGUAUAAGCCGUAAAAGUGAGAAAGAAGUUUAGGCACUCACCGAAGAAUCGAUCAAACGCGUAGAGAGGAAUGCGGUAAUGCAGAGAAUGAUUAAAAACAGCAUGGCCAACGAAGAUCUCACCAGAGUAACUUCGGAUUUCCAUGGAAGUAAUAUCUUCUCCGUGCAGUACCUGUAUACCCCUAAUCCCUUGAGAAUACCCUGCAUCCGGCCGGCAACUUCCUCUCUCAUCUUCACUUUCUUCUUUCGUCCUUGUUGGAUUUAUUACGUAUAUCUCCGCAACCAAGUAUAACUUGCUCACUACCGAAUGAACUGGUUUACCUUUGCUUUACACCGCUUUGAUGUAUGUGAACCUGAUAACCUGCAGGUCCAUAAUAUUUGGUGGGGGUACGUAUAACACCAUAUGCUGUCAACUGCUUCGCAUGGCGAGAUGCUUUUUAACUUUAAGCAGUGACAGACACAAGAGAGUUGGGACGAAGCCUUGGAUCGAGGAGAGCUAUAAACUGUUUACAAUAAAGAAAACACCCUGGGUCUAUUGAGAAACUAGGGGAGGAGGAGGAGGGGAUGCAUACAAUUUCCACACAAGGAAAAAACUGCGUCCAUUGAGAAAUUUAUGGAGGAGGAGAGAGAUAACGACGACAGUCAUAGAAAGAAAAAAAUCUGAUUCUAUUUGGUAAGAGUAAGAAAUUAAUAGAGGAAGACGGUGUCUUAUUGACUGAUUUUAUUUAAAUAAUAAUUAAGACGGUAGAGAAAUUAAGAUGGAAGGAAUUGAGUUGUGGCCGUUUGAUAAGGGAUGAAAACGGCAACUAGAACUAGAGAGAAAGUAAGGGAAAAGGUCGUUUAGGAGGAACAAGUAUUACCAUAAAAAUUCAUACACUAACAAGUAUCACAGUAUCUUUGCAUUUAUAUGUAUAUAUAUAUACAUAUUUUUUCAAAUUAACAUUAUUUUUUAAAAAAUAUAUCUUAUGGACACUCGUUAGGCAGAUCGCUCUUGUAGUUUUAGAUAUACGAAUAAACUUAGUACGUACAAAAUUGGGGAACAGCACAGCACGAUCAAAAUAAUACUCUAUAAAGCGACGAGAUUCUUUAUUAGGAUGGAAUUAUGAACAAACUCAUCGGGCAGCAUCAGGUAGAGAAGGCAUACCGAAAUCAUGACGGCAUUAGGUAGAGAAGGCAUACAAAAUAUGUAGUAUUUCUUUCUGCCACUCUUAUUGAAAACACACGUUUGACAUUCUGCAGCGCCUCUAUAGGUAGAUAAGUCCUUUAAUUAAUAACCUCAAAGAAAUCGAUUUUUGAUAUUUGAUUUAGCAGGGUAAUAAUAAAUAUAUAUAUAUAUAUAUAUAUAUAUAUAUAUAUAUAUAUAUAUAUAUAUAUAUCAAAAAGGAAUACAGGACUAUCAAAGUGAGACGGAGGGAGUAAUUUUUACGCUCAUCCCGGUGUUUCUAUUGAAUAUUUGACAUGCUACCGACGCCUAUUGUAGUAAAAUCACACAAUUUAUUUAUUUAUUUUUUUAAAAAGCAGGAUAACAGAAGAGGGCACCAUUUUCAAAACAAUUGAAACAUGAAAGCCCCACCAUCAAAUAUGCUUAAUGAUUAAAGAUUUUGACAAAAAAAAUAAAAAUAAAAAUAUGAUUAAAGAUUAAAACCACGUUGCAACGGCAAAUGAUGUCACAGCCGAAAUUUCAUAUCUGCAGCUAUGUUUGUUGUUGAUUAAAAUGAUAAAAUUACGCCUUUCAAGUCCAACUUGCAUUUUGGUUUAAUAAGGAGGACAAGUUUGAGCAUUUAUUACAAGAAUAUUAUAUAUAGCUGUAGAUAUAAAAUUUGAACCGUGGAAACAUCUCUCACUAUGACUAAAAGUAAAAGGGAAGCAUCCCAAAUGGAACGGAAGUAGCAGGGUGGACCUGGAAACCGCAUAGAAAUAUAUAAAGUUAAGUUGGCCCUUAAUGGCAGAUGCAGUCAUUUUUUUUGGCAAAACCGGUUUCUGCAAAUCCUCUUUGUAUUGCGCACGUUUGCACAGGAAUUUUUUUUUUUUUUUAAUAAAAUUUUUGACAGAUGCAGGGAAAUUGAUGAUGACAAAUUAACCAGCUGAAGAAGAAAAACAUGUCGGCCCGUCUAAUUAAUUGUGAUUGGUUUGAGUAUCCCAAUACUGUUUUUCCCACGUCUCUACCUGCUUUAUUAAAUCUUCUUUUCUCUCCAAAAUUGAAUGAAGAGUAGGAGGGUCGUAAGGAGGAGGCAUGGUGCAUGGAGCUGCCUCAGAGGGACUCGUAACAACGGAAUCCACCAUAUAUUUCUUCACCAAUCCAUCAGCCGGACAGGCCAUUAACUCGGAACAAAGUUCAAUUGCUUUCGGAGGAACGCUUGGCUUGUAUUUCAGAAGCUUAGCAUACUCUGUCAAGAGGUGAAACAUGUAAUCAUACACAUAUUUCAUUUGCAGCUCCUCUUGUACAAAAUGGCUUGCUGCCUUGCCAAUGGCCUGUGCCUGUGAUAUAAAACCUUGCUCUUGAGUUGGAUGAUAAAACUUGUUGCCUAGAAAUUGACUAGCAGAUUGUAUGAUCAGCACAGCAAGAAUGGCGGCCUUAAAUGAAUAGAAGGCCAACUAAUUUACCUCUUCCUGAUGGGUAUUGCCCCAGUGAACAGCAUACUUAAUUGAUCUGCACUUGUCAUUCUCUCUUAUGGGCCAAUAGUGUUGCAGAGGUAUCAAACUUCUUGUGAAGAAAUCGUAGUAACGUGGCCUGACCACUAAACUAACAGAGUCACACGCAAGAAUGUACUUUUCGCUUACGGACCACCCAAUUCCUUCGAUGUAGAUUUUAAAUCUGUAUCAUUCGUGCAAGGAUGGAACUAAAUCAAAGUUUACUUACCUAACCAUACUUACAAGAUAGUGUAAUAAACAUGGUUCACAAUAUCCGCCGAUACCGAUACGUAUCGGCCGAGUCGUAAUUGGAACGGAGGGGAUUGGUACGAUACUGAUUUCUGAAUCGCGGAUAUGGUAAUAUCUGCGACAACUCGUUCUGACUCGGCCGAUAUUGGCCGAUUCGAAUCCGUGAUACAUGAUAUCGGCCGAUAUAUCCGAGUCAACUCAGAGUCGAUUUAGAUAUUUUUUCAAAUUGUGCAUUUUUUGAUAUUUUCUAAUUGUAGUAAUUUUUUCAAAAAUUUUGGAAACUUUUAUGUACUAUAAUGUGUGUAUCAACCGAUAUGUCGCGACGAAUGUGGAACAAUCGAGACCGCGAUGCAAUCGCGACUCGCGACGGCGAACCAUGGUAAUAAAUGACUAAAUGAAUGCAUUGUUGUUUUAGUCGAAGGAUUUACUUGUUCUUACCUGUGAAUGCAUUGGUCAGCUAAGUUAGAAUUUUUGAAACCCUGUCGUUGUUCACGAUGCCAGUCCUGUUGAUUCAGUGUAAAUAUUAAUAAUCAGAGUUGAGUCCUUUGCCCACGUAUUCAAGAAACACAAGAUUCUACAGAUUGGUGGUUAGCUUUUCUUUCUUUUCUUAUCCCCGAAUGGAGGAAAUUUGUAACAAAUUUUAAAUUUAUAGAUAAUUAAACGUCAGGCCCACCUUUCAUUCUCUACCCAGAAUUGAAGAACCAUAAUUAAAUACAGUACAGUACCUGAUAAUAGAUACGGGCAUUCCAAUCUUGCUUGCCCGAGACAUGGCAAUUGAGUAAAUCCCUCCUUGAAGCCGUAAGUCUAGCGUUGCCCUUCCAAUAUGCGUGUGCUUCCCUGUCCACCCAUCGCAUCCGCCGGUUCCCUUCUUUUAGCUCCUCGGACAAUUGCUUCCAUGGCUUUAUAACAAUUUCAGGCCUAGCCAUUUAUUUGUUCCAAUACAUAUACAAACGGUAGACUGUAAACAAAAACAAUGCUGUGUUUCUGACUCUUAGCCAAGUUAAUAGUAGUAUAAUUUAAAACUUGAAAUGCUUACCAUCCCCAGAAUGACCAAUCCGGGAAAACAAUGUCGACGGUCGAAUCAUCUCCGUCGUAGCCGAACAGCGGUGGUGGGGCGGUGGCGUUGGAUUUGGGAUAACAUUCUUUAACAAUACCCGGCCGGUCCGCGCAGCUGAAUACGAGAUCCAAGUCGGGCAAUUUACCCGGGUACCGCCGUAGCAACUGUAAAAUUCCCCACUGCGUGAAAACAUCUCUCGUCUGAAACGACCUUCUAUAAGUCUCCACGUAAACCGUCCCAUUCACUAUAACCAGUCGGAAGUCUGCCCUUCUUUUAGCCGCCUCCACCAUGUCUAGUGAAAUUCCAGUCUCCCUCCAGGGCGACAGGUCUUCGUGGAUCCACCGGAAGUAAUCUGGGCAGGCCUCGGGAGCGGCCGCGUCUUCAUCUCGUGCUGAAAGAUUUGGUGGGUGGUAAGUUGUUGGGCAAGUUCGUGUGCUGUUGGUAACAGCGCAAGUCAAUGGGAUUUCAAUCGGAUUCCUCCUGGGCUUUGUCCAUGGAUCAUGAAGAGGGUAUUUUGAAAAUGUGACGCCACUGAAUAUUGAUUUUCGAGAGUAAUUCCCUGCAUUCCACUGAAACACAUUUUCAAAUUACCAAAUACGAGAGAUAUCACAAGCCAAAAGGUACUUGAAAUAAACAAACGAAUCAUCCGAUCUAGGAUUUCUUGGCAGUAAUAAUAUCAGUUUAUACUUGCAAGAUACGUUUAAUUCCAAAAAAACAAAAAAAAGCUUGUAAGUCGAACCUUCAUGGGUCAAAUUCUUACAUUAAUACUCAUUCUAAUUUGGUGCAGUAUGGUACUAAAAAAAUCAAGGGAACUCAUACUAAUUUUUUACACUUACAAUAGUCAGUAUGGUACUAUGACCUUUGCCGACUAUGACAAUAACAAUUCUGUCAAAUAAAUAUUAUUAAUGCGAGGUCAUGAAUAACAACAAAAGGCGGGAUGGGAUGUCCUGUUCGUUGAGAACGAUCUCAUGGUUUAAAUAAAUGCCAGCCAGGGCCAUGUCCGCUUCUUCUCUUCUGUCGGCGGCAACCUGUACGAGAAUAUACUUGAUUUCUAAUGCUUACUUCCACAAUCCUUCUCUCACUCUUGACGCUCCUAAACGCUUUAGAAAUGAAGCGGAAAUUCUAUUUGAGAGUCAAAUAUAUACGAGAGAAUGUUUACAACAGAAAACCAAAAAAAAAGGUGCAUGAAAGAUUAGAAUUCCAUAGCAAAUGAAAAAUAAGUGGCAACAACGAGAGUAAAUUCCGAAAUUAUUUUGGGAAUUUCUUCGCUAAGUUUCUUCUUCUGGCAAUCCACCUUCUCCACCCAAAUGGAAGACUGUGUGUGUUAUCCCAGAAGAGGCUGCAAGGAUCUGACUUCCGUUUGGUGCUGUACUGUACUGAUUCAACUCGGACUAAUUUACUGAACAUUAGAAAAAGCUUAAAAUGUCCAGCAGGAUCAGUUUCUCUCUUGAAAAAAGAAAAAGAAUGAAAAGAUCCAGAAGUGCGAAAAUCAUGUACUAAGUUAAUACAGAGAUAAUUACCCUGAAGUCGAGCAAGCGUGCCGAGAAGAAAGCCGCAAUGCACAGAAUGAAUAAGAAUAAUGUAGCCAGAUAAGAUAAGCAGCGACGUUGGAGAAUCCCUUGCAGUAAUGCUGCCGAAUCUCUCAUCUUUGCAUUGGCCAAAUAAAUGCGUCUCCAACUUCCUCUUCUAGCCUAGAGAGCAUUGACUAGAUGCAUCUCUGCCCCGCUCUUGAAGAAGGCACUGAUUCAGCAUUGCAAUACCAGCUGAUCGAUAGCUGAUCUUGGCAACUAUUAGUAAGAAAUUCGACUAGUCGUUGUUUUGAUUGCAAAGACAGAAAGCCUUAGCUUUCACAUGGCCAAAGCGUUUCUUGAGCAGAAAGCAUGGUUUUGGAGUUGCUAAUUAAACAAACAGAGAGCUGAAGAUGGAGCAAACAAAUGCGCCGUGAACGAGGGAGGAGCAAAUGAAUAUUGUGUAAAGUGUACUGUUCACGUUGACCUCGCAUUGCUUGGAAGUGCGGGCUAACUAUGUAGAAUUUCACAAUAACUUGAUGAACUAGCCAUUAAAUUUUCCUGAAAUAUUUUAUUGGCUCGAUGAUUUUCUUUUCUUUUCUUUUCUUUUUUUUAAUAAAAAAAUUGACUAUUUUAUGAUCGAAACUUUCAGCUGUUUAGUUCGCCAGUUUUUGUCUAUCAUGUCAAAUGAAAUGGAAGAGAUCAUGAUGUAGUUACACACUUCAGAGUGGACCCCUAGGAAAUUUUCUUAUCAGCAAUCACCAAAUUGCAAGAACAAAUCAGAUGUUGGAUUAGGAGUCGUUAUCAAUCCAAGUAUAGCAUUUGCCUAUUUUGAGGUUUUUCAUUAGGAUAUACAACUUUGACACUUCUUUCUGAAGCUUCUCGUUUCUCUAGAAUUUAAAACUUCAAUCUGACGAAGUAUAUAUAUCCUUAAAGGCGAAAGCUUCUCUCUCCCUCUCGUUCCGUGAACACAUUUUCCUAUCACCUUUUUAUCUCACAUACAUUAAAUCGCUACAGUAAUUUUUCUACAAAAAAUCCAGAAAAAUGCAAUCCAAACACAGUAGUACUAUCUACUUCUUUCUGUCAGGAUGAAGAAAAAGAAAGCUGGCCAUUGGAGGAGGAGGAAAAAUAUUUUGAUCCUAAAAGCUUCCUUUGAGGACACUGAAACUUUUCUAAGAAUAUAACUAAGUAAAUAAUUUUAUUGGAGAAGGGUACUGUGUUUGUAUAUUAGAUUGUUUGAGAUAUUUUUUUUGAAAAAAAAAACACUGCAACACUUUUCUAAUUUAAUGUAUGUGACAUAAAAAUGUGAUUGAAAAAUAUAUUGAUGAUACAAACAAAUAAAAUUUGACAAAUAAUCUACUACCCAAACAAACCAGCAAUUGAAAAACUGAUGAAGCUUUUCUGGUCAAACCAGUGGUAGGCGUGGAAUAAAAUUUUAACAAAGUUGUUGGACAAGGGGCAUGACAAGAUAAUACUACUAUUGAUAUCAAAUUGUUGAUGGAAACGUGAAAGCUUUAUAAAUCACUAUAAGUUGCCAACUUGUGAUGCACUCUUGAUUUUCUUAUGCUUUUUUUUUUCUAAUUAUUGUUAUUAUUUUUGGUAGGGUAUGCUAUUGUGCCACGAAGCGUAGCUAAGCAGAUCAUAGAGCAAACAAAGUCAGGGGAGGCUAGUUUGAAGUUUCUAGAUGUUAUAGUUACUCAUUUUGUAUUUGAAGAAUUUGAUUCUAGUUCAUUGAAAACAAUUGAACCAAACUCCUGGCGACAAAUUUUAAUCAGCUACCCUCUUCUCUUUUUUUUUUUUUUUUUUUUCCUUCUUUUUAUUCAGAAAAUGAUGAAAGAUUACUCAAUUACUCAUCAACAAUGGUAAGAGGAAAGUUUCUUUGACUGGGAACUGCCAAACUUUGCCAGACCUGAUUCGGUCCAGCGCGCGUCGCGUUGCCGCUGCUUCUCGUUAGUCGGUGAGGACCGAGCAUAGGGAGGUGCCCUUGCCAAACCUUUAGGGCUAAAAGGUUGACCUGGUCGCAAAUUCUUGCAGUGGUAACUAAUAAAUUAGUACAACAGGUCCCAUUGGAGCCCGUAGCAUGCCCUGAGUUUAGAAUGCAUUUACUUCUAACACAAAUUGAAUUUGAUUUUGUAACGUGAGGUGCAUAUAUUACAAGGAAAUGAGAAAUUUGCCUUAAAUUAAGCUGAUUUUUUUUUAAAAAAAUUUCCUAAUAAGGAAAGGAUAUAAUUUAAGAAGUCGAGCGGGGGAAAGAAGAUUACAACCUAAAACCUCUAAAUUUUGAAACCUUUGGUUUAAUCAUUAGAUCAAAACAUUCUCAGCAUGCUAAAUUAAAUAGAUAAUUCAACUAUUUUGGCUAAAAAAAUGAAUACUUGAUGGAAUCUUUAUCCGCAAAUCAUAAUUCUUAUUUAUUUUGUGGAGGUUAUAUCGUUUAUAUCUACAUAUGUGUAAUUUCGUGUUUUCUCCCUAAUUAUUGGUUUCAUUAAUGGCACAUGAUAUGUCAUUUUUUGGGCAAUAUUUGCAAUCUAAAAUAAUUAACUCGAAUCCAGUUUCAAGUUUAAAAACUUUACUGGCCAGAUUAAUCCAACUAGACAACAAAAGGGAAAGAAAAAGUGAUAGAAAGGAUAGAAAGAAUAGACAUUUCAUGAAAGGAUAGAAAGAAAACAUAAUACGCAUAAACCUAAUGCGUAUAACACAUAAGAUAACAUGAUACGCAUAAAAAAGAGAGAGAGAGAGAGAGAAAGAAAAACAUACGUUUAGGUAAUAAAAAAAAAAAAAAAAAAGAAGAAGUGCAACUAAGUAUGCUUCUUUUGAGUCUCCCAAUAUUGUUUUUCCCAGGCCUCGACUAGUUUUGUUGUGUUCCGUUUUGUCUCCAAAAUUGAACGAAGGGUUUGAGGAUCAUGAGGAGGCAUGGAGCAGGGAGGGGAAUCAGAGGGACCUUUGAUCAUACUGUCCAUCAAAUACUUCUUCUUCAAUCCGGCCGUGGGGCACGCCAUCGACUCCAAACAAAGUCGAACCGCUUUUGCGGGAACAACAGGCUUGUACUUGAGAAGCUUAGCGUACCCAUUCAAGAGAUGAAACAUGUAGGGUCUGUUUGGUUGGAAGUAAAAUGUUUUCCUUGGGAAAAUAUUUUCCGUGGAAGUAAUUUUCCAUGAAAAUCAUUUUCCUUUCAUCAUUUUCAGGUGUUUGGUUAGCUUAUUGAAAUAUUUUCUUACUUCAUUUUUCUGAUGUUUGUUUAACUUUUGAAAUAUUUUCACUUUUAUCUCUAUCUUUACUUUCUACACAUUAUAACUACAUACUUCUUCCCAUGCAAAAUAAGAAAAUUUAUCUCAUUGUUUAACUUUAAAAAAUCUUGGAGAAAUGUAUAUAUGAAUAAAAAAUAUCUUCUUAAGCAAUAAACAAAUUGCUGGCCAUUUAGUGUCAAAUAUCAAUCACAUGCAAUGCUUAUUGUGACAUAUAUCUUGCACUCUCACUGCUAAAAGUUUCUCUAGAAAAGAAUGUCCCUAUUAUACAUAAUUAAUUACUAGUAUAGGAUGAACAUGAUGAGAUUUUUUUUUUAUUUUGAAUAUACUAGGGAGAGGGUUGGGUGGUACGGGGGAGGGAGUGUAAGGAAGAGGUCUUGGGUUUGAGUCAUCCUGUUUACACUAAAAAAAAAAAAAGAACAUACUAUAAGAUGUUUUCAAUAAGUUUGGAACAUACUACAGGCGGGAUGCAUGCAUUUCGGAAAACAACUUCAGUAAGUUUGGAAGGGAAGUUGUUUUCCAUAAGAUGAGUGAAAAUAUUUUACAUAGGAAAAUGUUUUCAGUAACUUUUGUGCAACCAAACACGGGAAAUUAGGAAAAUAUUUUCCUGGAAAACAUUUUCACCUGAAACAAACGGACCGUAGUAAUCGUACACGUUUUCCAUUUUCAUUUCUUCUUGAACGAAUUUGCCAGCUGCCUUGCCCAUGGACUGUGCCUGCACUGGUGCAAGCGUGAUUGGAAGUAGUUUUUUUUUUUUUUUUAAGUUUAAUAAACUAUCUUAUGAGUUGAAUAUCUGAAAACAUUCGCAUAGGAGAAGUUGAGAAUGGAUUAAAGGAGAGAUUAAAUUACUUCAUCCUUGCGGUGGUUGCCCCAUUCAACAGCAUACUUGAUAGACCUGCACUUGUCAUUACCUCUUAUAGGCCAGUAGUGUUGCAAAGGCAUCAAACCUCUGGAGAAGAAGGUGUAGUAACGGGGACUCACUCGUAAAGUAACAGAAUCACAGGCAAGAAUGUAUUUUUCACUUACUGACCACCCAAUUCCUUCCAUGUAGAUUUUAUAUCUGCAUGCAUGGUUCGAGCAACGGAGGAGACAAAUCAAUACUUGCGCUGAGCAUUUUACUUUUAGCAUUCACAAUAUAAUACAGGGACAAAGUCCCAGCAGCCACUUCCAAAAUUUUAGAACAGCAUACACUGAUCUGCAAAACUCUUUGAGUACCAGCACUGCUUGCACAUGAAGCUGUAAUAUACCUGUGGCGACAUUGAUUUGCAAAACUCGCUCCUUUGAAACCUUGCUUCGAUUCUUGACCCCAAUCCUGCAAAAAUCUUUUAAACAUGAACCUCUAAUUAAUGAAGAAGAUGAUGAAUCGUUCACAACUAGAACAAGAUUACUCUAUCUGUUACCUUAACUCCAAUGCGAUUUCCUUUUAAAAAAAAAAAAAAAAAAAAAUGGAUGUGUUAGUUUUAUUUAAGAGUACUUUACUUUAGUAUUUAGCCUGGCAAUCAAGGUCCUGCUUCAUCGCUUUUGAAGGAGGAUUAGCGCAUCAUCUAUUUAUUUAGACCUGUUUGAUAAUUCAAUUCAACACUUAAACAUAAUUGGUUCAAAUCUACGUAUUUGAUAACCAAAACUAGAACAUCUAAAUUCAUUAAGUGGCGCUGAAUUUUUUAGGCAAACUUUUCUCUAAAAAAUAAAUGAUAUUUACUUAAAUGUAUCAAAUUUUGUACUUAAUAAUUCACUGAUUUAAUAGAUUCUGAUUUCAAAUUUCAGAUUUAAAACUUCAAAUUUCAACUUUCAAACUUCAAUUUUAUCAAACACAUCCUUACUAAAUAACUUCCUCUUAAUCACUUAUAAGAAGGAGAGUUUAUAUAUAUAUGCUGCAAAUUAGCGAAAAUUCCAAAUUCCGCCACCACUUGUAUGUAGAGAAAUUUAUGAAGCUUUGUUACCACUACGUAAAUACGAGCAUUCCAAUCCUCUUUGUCUGAAUCGUUGCACUUGACCAAGUCCAUCCUGUCUGCGGACAUUAUGGAUCCCUUCCAGUAAGCAUGUUCAUCCCUGUCCGCCCAUCUACUCCUUCCAUUUGCCUUUUUUAAGUCCUUUAACAGCCCCUCCCAUGGCUUUACACCAGUGUUAGGCCUACAACAUUUAUAUAAACAAAUAAUAAGCGCUAAUUCCUGAUUUAAAAAAAAAUAAUCACAUUAGGUUUGACACAAAACAAAAAGAAAAAGAAAAAAUUAUUUAAACAUACAAACAGGAUCCCAUCAAUUUAUUCUAGAAUGUAAAUUUGCCUCAUUUCUAUGGAGUUUGGAACUUGCCUCAUAUCCAAGGAGUAAUUUGCAUAUUACGACCACCAAAAAAAAAAAAAAGAGAAAGGAAGAAGAAGAGAAGAAAGAAAGAAUCGUACCAUCCCCAGAAUGACCAAUCUGGAAAAACGAUGUCGAAGGUGGCAUCGUUUCCAUCAUAGCCGAAGAGUGGUGGCGGGGCCUUGUCACCGGGCUGAGGAUAAAGAUUUUUCUUAAUAAUUGGGCGGUCCCUCAUGUGAAACAUUAGGUCCAAGUCAGGCAUUUCACCGGGAUAUCUCCGUAGCAACUGCACAAUCCCCCACUGCGUAUAAAUGUCUCUAUUGUAACGCGACUUUGAGUAGGUCUCUACGUAAGCCUUCCCAUUCACUAUUACCAAUCUGAAAGCAGCCUUUUCCUUAGCCUUCUUCACCAUGUCCAGUGUUACUCCGGUUUCUCUCCAGGGCGAUAGAUCUUCGUGGAUCCAACGGAAGAAAUCAGGACAGGUAGGCUGUGGUUUUGAUGGACGUUCUUGAUUUUCAAAGUGACCAAGUUCGGAUGGGGAUUCAUUUCCAGGGCACGUCAACUUGCUGUUACCGGGCAAACAGUUCAGUUGGGUUCCAUGAAUCUUGUUCUUAGUCUCAGGUGCUGAUAUUGAUUUUUGCGAGUAGUUGUGAGGACUUUUCUUCUCAAACAUCAUGCUAGCAGAUGUUGAUUUUUGCAGGUAGUUCUGCACAUUUACGAGUAACUGAGAGAGUUGUACAAAUGAAAUCACAAAUCAAAAAACAUCCAUUCAGCCUGGUCCGGAAAAUCCUACAUUCUUUUCCCUUGAUAUAUAUAUCAUCAAUAACUAACGAUCAAUCUAGUCAAUGACCGAUCACAUAAAUCUCUAUUUAUAGACAUCAAAGUUUGGUAUCAUCAUAAAACCUUCACUGUAGUUCUACGGUGGAAGUUGGGCACAAAACUGGAAACUGUGGCAUGCAUAAUUAACCAGAAAUUAAGGAGAGAGUUAUUAGAGGUUUUACGUACGGAUGGGUCGAUAAAGCGUGAGUAGGCAAAAGCAGCCAUGCAGGAGAUGACGAAGAUUGACAAAGGAAGCCAAGAUCGCCAGUUAUGAUGCCCAAAUCCAUGCACCUCUUUAUCUCUCAUCUUUACGUUGUCCAGUCCUCCUUAUACGCCUUAUUUUUUUUUUCCGUUUAAGACGCCGUUAGAUCACCGGCUAGCUUACCACUCUUGGUCACUCUGUGUUCCCCACUUGAACGGCCUUCGUCGUUGGAUUGCAGCGAAAGUCUUUAAUAAGUUUUUUUCUAUUUUUUUUUUCGGGCGAGCGAGGAUUUGGGAAUUGGGAUUCCCCAGUUGGGUUGCAGAUGAACCCCGUGUAUGCAUAUCCCACGAAGGAAGGAUGUAAAGCCAAGAAGUUAAAUCAACUUUAAGCUAUAAAAAUAGGUUGAUGACAUAGGGAUGGAAGCUGUUAAUGCUCUAUUGACUUGCAUUGCAGCUUUGGGGCUCAUUAAAGAUAAACUACGGCUAAUUGGUGAUGUUUCCUCGUCAAACAGGUAACUCAGACUCAAAUCCGGUGGGAGAAGGCACUUGAAAGUCACCCGGCCCCUAACUAAUUCUCGGGUUGGAAUUCUCUACAUUGGAUUUCUCUCCGUUGGUCUCUCUAUUUCAAUUUAUUUAAAGGGUAUUGUUAUUUGCGCUUCCCCUAUGUUAUUUGCAUUUUCACUAUCACAUUUUUAUCUUGAUGAGACCAUAUUAUCUCUGUCCUGAUUUCUUUUCCUAUCCUAUCUUGUGUUCGCAUGCAAGGAAGUUAGGUACAAUUGCGUACGUGUUCAAAAGGAAAAAAAAAUUAAUUUUUGCUUCUCUUUUUCUAAAUCUAAAUAACUGUUUUUAAUUUAUUUUUCAUAUUCUUAUUUGAAUUUCAAUUUUCCAGAUUUUUUAUGAGCACGAUUGAGCUUCUAUUGCAUCAUUUUGAUAUUAGAUGCUGUUAUGCUUUUGUUGAAAUAUGCUAGAAAGUUUCAUUCUCUCUAUGGUGGCUAUAUGAUCUAUUCUCAGUAGAGUUUUUAAAGAAUUAGUGUCCUAUUUAUAAGACGUUAUAGUUAUACUCAAUUUUUGGUCAUCUUUGACACUUGAAUUUUUUUAUUUAUUUGUUUUUUUUUUGGGCUUGAAGUUUGGACUCUAUUCAUAUUACAUUGCUAGAUUGAUUUUUGACAUCAUAUAAUUUCUUAAAGUUUUAUUGAAAAAUACAUAAUACAUAUUAGUGACAAUUUUAAAUUAGCCAUUUUAAUGUGUAAUGGAAUAAUUAAUUGAUUUUAGAAUGUAAGAGAAAAUCUAGUAAAGUUAACUCAUAAACAAAGAGAUGAAAUUAGGGAGAGGAAAAUAUGGUCUUAUCAAAAUAAAAAUGGAAUAGUGAAAGUGCAAAUAACAUAUGGAGAGUACAAAUAACAUUACCUUAUCUAAAUUACUAUAACUUUAUAAAAUCAUCCGAUUGUAUCAUUACUUUUCUUUUAAUUGUUAGAUCAACAUACUAAAAACUAAUAUUCUUUUGAGAAUAUUUUGACAUUCAAUUUAUAUGAAACAUUUGAACAAUGAAGAACGAGUCAAAAUUUAUAAUGAUUAAAACAACAAAAUUUAGUCAAUUUCAUAUUAAAUUUUAUGUAUAACUUAUACCAGUGAUGAAAUAUAUUAUGCAUGGUGUUGAUUUUUGAAAAUAAUUUUUAAAUUAAUUUUAUUAGGAUAUAAUGGGGAGAAAUUCUUUCCAUUGCAAUGAAGAGGUGUUUAGCCCACUAAUCCUCUACUUCCACUCUCAUGGGACAAUGCUACAGUUCGUGAGUCACGCUAAUGGGGUAAAUUUUUCAGUUCAAUUGACAUUGGUGACAAGUCGGAUGUUAUAGUAUCGUGUUAGUAUAAUUAAUAUUAGUGCUAAUAAAUUUAUAGGAAAAUUAGUAAGUAUGUCCCUAAAGCAGUAAGUUUAAUCACAAAUAGAAAUUUACGCUUUCAGUAAUCAAACUUACUUACUACUUGACAAAUUUUAUUUUUCUUUAAAUUGAAGGAAAAAUUUUGCUUCUUUUUUGAAGAAAUCCUCAACCUUUUCAAAUUUUAAUAAAGACUUCUACCACAUGCAAAAAAUGAAUUAAAUUAAAAAAGGUCUAUCCAUUUUUUAUGUGGAUUAAAAACGUUAAAAAUUGGUUAACGCUUAUGGACAAAAAGAGGAAGCAGGCAGAAAGGUAAAAAUGCAUAACUAGUUAUGUUUAUUUCGAGCGUCCCAAUACUGUUUCUCCAACGUCUCAGCUUGCUUCAUUGAAUUCUCUUUUCUCUCCAAAAUUGAAUGAAGAGUUUGUGGAUCAUAAGGCGGAGGCAUUGUGCAUGGCGGUGCAUCGGAUGGACCUCUAACAAAAGUUUCCAUCAUCAUUUCCUUCACCAAUCCCUGUGCAGGACAAGCCAUAAACUCGGAACAAACUUCGACCGCUUUCGGAGGAACACCUGGCUUGAAUUUCAAUAGCUUAGCGUAUCCGCUCAACAGGUGAAACAUGUAGUCAUACACGUAUUCCAUCUUCAACUCCUCUUGUAUGAAACUGCUUGCUGCCUUCCCAAUGGCUUGUGCCUGUCGUGUAUAUGAAUCUUUGUAAAUGAGAAAGGUUGGUCAUGGUGCAAAUUAAGCCAUCAAUUACCUCUUGCGGGUGGGUGUUGCCCCAGUCAACAGCAUGCUUUAGUGAUCUGCACUUGUCAUCAUUUCUUAUCGGCCAGUAAUGCUCCAAAGGCAUCAAACUUCUUGCAAAAAAAUCGUAAUAACGUGGCUUCACUAGUAAGGUCAGAGAAUCACAGGCGAGAAUGUACUUCUCACUCACAGACCAUCCAACGCCUUCGAUAUAGAUUUUGUAUCUGUAUAUAUGGUUCGGGCAGUUAGGAGUUACAAGAUCAAAGUUCAACUAAAGUAGGCAAAUAGCAGCUAUCAUUAAACCUUGAAAAAGAAGGGUCAUGUGUAAAAAAAAAAAUAAAAAAAAAAACAAUGCUACACAUCAUAUCACACACCUUAAUAAGAGUGAAUUUUGCCCCUUAUAUUCCAACUAAACUAGUGAUUGGCUAGAGUUAAUGAUUACCAUGUACAGAGUAACAAAAAGCCAGAAAAGGGAUCAACCACAAGCGAAGACAAGAGAUGGCAAGAAGUAAUCACCGUAAAGGUCUACUCUACCUGUGUGUGCAUUGGCUUGCUAAGUCAGAUUGUUUGUAACCUUGCUGCUGCUCACGAAUCCAGUCCUAUACAAAGUAUAAUCUGUGAGAUCUUUAUGCAAUUGACCUUUAUGUUAAAAUCAAUUAUAAUGAAAAAGAAGGAUAAUUUAGCGACACUGCCAAAUUGGACUUAAUUCUAGAAACGUGUAACUCCAGUUUAACACUUAAAAAUGCAUCGCCGAAUAGAAUGAGGUUGUGGUACCUGAGAGUAAAUGCGAGCAUUCCAAUCCUGUUUGUCUGAAACGUUGCAUUUUGCCAUAUCCAGCCUGUUUCGUGCCACUGCAGGGUUCCCCUUCCAGUAAGCAAGUGGCUCCCUCUCUACCCAUCUACUCCUCUCAUUCCCUUCUUUUAGAUCCUUUGACAAUGACUCCCAUGGCUUUAUAUUCAGCUCUGGCCUGCAACAUUUUUUCUCACGAGUAAACAAACUUAAACCCCACAUUCGUCGAUACAGGUAAAGCUAGCUCAUAAAAAAGUUUUUCUUCUUCUUCCUCUUUUUUCUUCCAAAAGAAAAGCCUAGAAUGAAAAUUCAGAACUAAAAGAAAAAUGCUCGGCGGUUGAAGUCUUCUCAAUGCAUUUCUCAUCUUCGAUCCCACAUGAAUUUUCACACAAGAAUCUUUGUACUGGAAUAAAAUAGAGGGGUAGUGAUCAUUAGACGAAUCUGUUGCAUCGUACGUAUAUAGCUUUUUCUUCUUUCUUUUUAAGGAAAAAAAUUUAAAGAAUCUGAUUAUGUCUGUAGAUGCAUGCCAAGUAUAAGCAAAUCGUACCAUCCCCAGAAUGACCAAUCUGGAAAAACAAUGUCCAAGGUGGCAUCAUCUCUACAGUAAGCGAAUAACGGCGGCGGGGCCAGUGAAUUUGGUCCGCUUUGAACUUCCUUCAUGAUAGCCGGCCGGUCGUUGCAGUCAAACAUGAGUUCCAGAUCAGGGAGUUGACCUGGGUACUUGCGCAAUAACUGAAGAAUCCCCCACAACGUAAAGGUGUCUCUACUAUGAUGCGACCUCCUGAACUUCUCCACGUAAGCCCUUCCAUUGACUAUAACCAAUCGGAAAUGGGCUGUCUUCCUAGCCAUGCUCAGCAUCUCCAACGUAAUUCCUGUUUCUCUCCAUGGCCAUAGGUCUUCGUGGAUCCAACGGAAGUAAUCUGGACACGUAGGUUGAGGAGGACUUGUAGCAAUGUUCUGAUCUUGUACGAGAAGCUGUGAUGGGUAGUAAUUUGCUGGGCAGGUCCGCUUCGAGAUUCCAGCUGUGCAGUUAAGCGGGAUUUCAAUUUUCUUUACGGGGAAUUCAUCAGAUUGGGUGGUUUUCUUGGUAUACUCUCUACUGUGGUAGUUGUGAAAUGUUAUGCCUGUGAAUAUGGAAUGCUCUGAGUAGUUUUGAGCAAUCGACUGCACAAGGUUAAGAAAAUUGUAGCGUCAAAAUCUAAGUUCUUAAUUUUAUUUUUUUUUUUUUGGAAGGGAGUUCUUAAUUUUUUGUUCGCGUUCUCUAAUUAGCAUCUAAAUCAUGGAAAACAAAUGGUUUAACUUGAACCUUAAUUAAGUUUACCACCAUAAAUUCUUUACGUAGCUAGCUUGUACAACUGAAAAAAGAAAAAAAAAGGCAACCGUAAUUGGUAAUUGUGGUAACAUUUGGGAUUCUGCAUAACAAGGAAGGAAAAUUCGCACUCAAGAACUUGUGGUGAGUAAAAGAAUGCUCAAACGUUUGGUACCACUGUAUUAUAAUAAGGCUGGGUAUGAUAAGGAAAAUGAUCAGUCUAACAACACAAAUCCCUGUAAAGUGCAAGCACAAGCACAAGGAAUGGGGGGAUCGACCACAAAGCAGUGAAAGCACAAACAACAAAAAGGAGAUGAGUAAAGUAUGCAGUGAGAAAGUUACGUACGGAAGCGUCAAGCAGGCGCGUGUAAACAAUUGCGGCAAUGGAGAGAAUGAUUAAGAACAAAAGUGGCAGUACAGAAGAUCGCCAAUAAUGCUGAUUGCGAAGACGAUGCUCUUUUAUAUGUGCUCUGUCUUUAAUUGCCUGCAUUCUGCAACUCCGACUCCGACCGAUCCGCAGCUUACAAUAAUGCUUGCGACAUUCUACAAUAAUUUGAAUGGUUUCGGAAUCUAAGAUUUAGAUUUGAACAGAGCCAUCAUGCUUAGAAUUUUUGCGAGGUCAACUAAUUUUUGGGAAAAACAAGCUGGAUCUGGAAUUCUAUACUGCUGCUAACGGCGAACUGGAAGAAGAAGCCAUACGCGACGCCCAAAGAGAUAAAUCCGAACUGCGCGAAGAAGAGAGAAAAAAAAAUAGAGAGAGAGAAAGAGCUUCUUGGAACUUCGGACUUGAUUUAGUUGCAGCUCCAGCUUAUCGUCUACCGGUUUAUGCGGGACGUAGAAUCAAAUUAUUGGCAGGGGAUGAGGACACACAGAGAAAAUGAUUAAUGGCAGGGCAGAGGACAUACAAAGAAAAUGAUAUGUCAUCGGAUUGAUGACUACGAGUAUAUCACUACCAAUAAUUUUUUUGUAAAAUUAUGAAAAAAAAUAAAGAGAUUACAGUCUUUUUUUUGUAAAAUUAUGAAAAAAAAAAAAACAAGGCCUUAACAAAGCAAAGGAUGGAAAAAAAGGCCUGAAUUUGAAGAAAAACUUUUGAGUAAGGAACCAGCUUCACGGUAUUGCCGUUUGUUGGAAAAAAAAAGAAAAAAGAAACCAGCUUCACGUUGAGUCGAUGCAUUGAAUAGUAUUGGUAUCUUACAAACGAAGAAUCUGUCACUUUCUAUUUUAGUGCUGCUUUUGUCAUUGGGAUUUAAAAUUUGACACCUCCUCUAGUCCACGCUGACCCGUUUCUAUGGAUUUCACCCAUCGCGGACGUUCUGUUCAAAUAUACAUCACUCACUCUAGUUAUCGUUUCUCGUCAAGCAAGUUUUCAUGUAGCCCGUACCGAACAUAUGGAAUAAAUCAUUUUCGUGAUCUUGAAGAAAAGAUUCUUUUUCCUUUUUGUUUUGAAACACUAAAAAACAUAAGAUCCCAUUUGUAUUGCUAGUUUUUAGAGUUUUUAUACAGAAAUAUGGGCCUGUUUGGAACCUGAGUUUUUUGGGAGUUUGUCUAAAACUUUACUGUAGUGCACUGUAGAAGUUUUUGAAAAAAUUUUGUAGAAAUUUUUGUAAGGUGAAAAAUUUUGUAGAAGUUUUUAUAAGGUGAAAAAUUUCUUUUUUCUUUUUUUUUUCCUUUUCUAUUUUUUUUCUCUUUCCCUUUCUUUUUCUUUUUCUUUUUCUUUUUCUUUCCUCUUUCUUUUCUUUCUUCUCUUUUUCUUUUUUUUUCUUUCCUCUCUCUUUUCUUUCUUCUCUUUUUCUUCUUCUUCUUCUUCUUCUUCUUCUUCCCCGUUACCUCCGCCACCCCCAGCAGCCUGCCAGCAACCGCCACCCCUCUCCUCCCUUUCCCCUUCUCCUCCCCUCCCCCCGCCGCCCCCUCUGCCCCGCCUUCCCCCUCCCCCCGCAGCCCCCCUCUGCCCCCAUCCCCCUCCCCUCCUUCCCUCUCCCCCCGCGCCCUCUGCCCCUUCCCCACUCCCCCCCGCUUUCCCCUCUCCCCUGCCGCCCCCUCUGCCCCUUCCCGCUCCCCCCGCCGCCCCUCUGCCCUUCCUCCCCCCGCGCGCCUCUGGCCCGCCCUUCCCGCCUUCCCCGCUGCCCUGCCCCCUCUGCCCCUGCCUUCCCCCUCCCCGCUGCCGCCCCCUCUGCACCUUCCUGCACCCCCCUUCCCCUCCCCUCCGCCCCCUCUGCCCCGCCACCCCCGCCUUCCCUGUCCCCUUCCCGCUUCUCAUCCUCUUUCUUUUCUUUCUUUUUUUUUCCCACAGAGAGGUGGGAAUGGUGCCGGACGUUGAGAGAAAAAAAAAGACAAGAGAGGAUGAUGGCAGGGGAGGAAGAGGGGGAGAGGGAAAAAAAAAGAAGACCGGCACCGGCACCGGAAAUUCACGCGGGAACCAGCGACAGAGCCGGCAAUGGAGGUGGUGGUGGGAGAGGAAUAAGAAGAAAAGAGGAAGGAAAAUUUUUUUUUUUGUUGUGUUUUGGAUAUUUUAAGUGUGUAGGUUAAAAAUUUUGGUAAGUUUUUUGGGGUUCCUGUAGCACAAGUUGUUAAAAAACUAGUUUUAUACAAACUUGGUAAAAAACCAAGCUUCCAAACAGGGCCAUAGGUCCUGUUUGGAACCUUGGUUUUUAGGCAAGUUUGUAUAAUACUAGUUUUUUAACAACUUUUGCUACAGGAACCCAAAAACUUCUCCCAAAACUUUCGCCCCUUUCUGAAACAUUUUAACAAAACGACGUCGUUUUGGCUGGUUUUUUCCUUUUCAAUUCUCAGCAACACAGAAGACUCUUUCCUUUGUUUCUUUCGCUGCACAAAAGUUUUUGAUCUUUCUGUUAGUUCUCCGGAGUCGACCUACUUCUAUGCCGGAGUCUUCAGUUGAUCAGAGCAACGAGAAGCUAAGUGAGUGAUUCUCCAUUUUGUUGGUGAAACCCAUUCGAAAAGCUUCAUUGGUCAAUUGCGAGUUCAGAAACUGGGCGCAGAGGGGAAGGGGUGGCGAGGCAAAGGGGGAAUGGCAGCUUGCUUCCACUGGUGGCGGGCGGGGCUGAUUCACUGAGCCUAUCCGCUCGCAAUCCAUAUAGGACGUCUUCCUCUGAGCUGGUGAGAGAAGGAGGAAGGGGCAGCGGGGGUGGCGGGGCAAAGGGGAGGGGGAAGGGGCAGAGAAGGUGGCGGGGGGAGGGGGUGGUGUGGCAGCGGGGAGAGGGGGCUGGCGGGGGAAAGGGGUGGCGGGGGAAAUGCAGAGGAGAGGAGAAGGGGAAAGGGAGGAGAGAGGGUGGCGGGAGGGGAAAGGAAGAAGAAGAAGAAAGAGAGGAAAGAAAAGAAAAAGGAAAAAAGGAAAAAGAAAGAGAAAGAAAGAAAAAAAAAAAGAAAAGGAAACAAAAAUUCACCUUACAAAAUUUUUUAUCUUACAAAAAACUUCUACAAAAAAAUUUUUCACCUUACAAAAACUUUUAUAAAAUUUUUUCAAAAACUUCUACAGUGCACUACAGUAAAGUUUUAGACAAACUCUCAAAAAACAGGCUCCGUUUGGAUUAGCUGUUUUUGGGUUUGUUUUUCAAAAACACCACUGUAGCAUUUUGAAUCUGAAAAAUAAGUCCGUUUGGAUUAAUUAUUUUUGGGGUUGUUUUUCAAAAAUUAUAUGAAAAACUUUUACUGUAGAUUUUUUUGGAUUAUUUUUAGAGGUAUUUUUGAAACAUAUUUUUGAGUAUUUUUAGAAUAUUAUAAUUUUUAUAUUUUUAUAUAAAUAUACAUUUAUGCAUUUAUAAUACAUUUAUAUUUACAAAUGUAUAAAUGUGCAUUAUUAUAAAUGUAUAAAUUAUAAAUGAAUAUUAUAUAAAUGUAUAAAUGUAUAAAUUAUAAUUUUUAUAUUUUUAUAUAAAUAUGCAUUUAUGCAUUUAUAAUACAUUUAUAGAUAUUUAUAAAUAAAUAUAUUUAUAUAUUCAUAUAAAAAUAUAUAAAUGUAUUAUAUUAUAUAUAAUACAUAAUAUAAAUAUAUUUAUAAAUGUAUAAGUGUAUAUUAUUAUAAAUGUAUAAAUUAUAAAUGAAUAUUAUAAAUAUAUUAUAAAUUAUAAGUGUAUAUUAUUAUAAAUAUAUAAAUUAUAAAUGAAUAUUAUAAAUGUAUAAAUUAAUAUAUUAUAAAUAUAUAUUAAUAUUAUGUAGAAAUGUAUUUAUAUAAUUAAUAUAAAUGUAUAUAUGUAUUGAUAUUAUGUAUAAAUGUAUUAUAUUAUAUAUAAUACAUAAUAUAAAUGUAUAUUUAAAUGUAUAAGUGUAUAUUAUUAAAAAUGUAUAAAUUAUAAAUGAAUAUUAUAUAAAUGUAUCAAUUAAUAUAUUAUAAAUAUAUAUUAAUAUUAUGUAGAAAUGUAUUAAUAUAAUUAAUGUAAAUGUAUACAUGUAUUAAUAUUAUGUAUAAAUGUAAAAUUAAUAUUAUGUAUAUUAUUAUAAAUGUAUAAAUGUAUUAUAUUAUAUAUUAUACAUAAUAUAAAUGUAUAUUAUAAAUAUACAUAAAUAUUUAUAUAUUAUGUAUAAAUGUACAUUUAUAUAAAUGUAUAAUAUAAUAUAUAUUAUAUUAUAUAUAAUAUAUUAUAAAUAUAUAAAAAUAUAUUAUAAAUAAAAUAAAAUAUUUAUAAUAUGUAAGUAUAAAUAUAUAAUAUUAGAAAUGUAUAAUAUAUAUAAUAUACAUUAUUAUUAAUAUAAUUUAUGUAUAAUAUACAUAAUUGAAAUAUACAUAUUAAUAUAUAUUAUAAAACAAAAUUGAAUAAAUAUAUUUAUAAAUUUAUAUAUAAAUAAAUGUAUUUAUAUAAAUAUAUAAUAUUUAUUUCAAUUGAUAUAAUAUAUAUAAUAUUAUACAUAAUUGAAAUAAAUAUAUUUAUAUUAAUAUUAUAUAUAUAAUAUACAUAAUUGAAAUAUACAUAUUAAAAUACAUAAUUGAAAUAUACAUAUUAAAAUACAUAAUUAAAAUAUACAAAUUGAAAUAUACUUAUUAAAAUAUACAAAUUAAAUAUACAUAAUUGAAAUAUAUUUGGAGUUGUUUUUGAUAUAUUGUUUGGAUAUGGUGUUUUUGAAGUUGUUUUUGAAAUACACAUUACUGUAGCAUUUGGAAUGUGAAAAACAGUUUUUCAAAAACAGGUGCAAAAACACUCAAUCCAAACGUAGCCUCAGGUUCCAAACAGGCCCAUACUGUAACUAUUUGAUAUAUAUAAAAUAAAUAAAUUAUUAAAAAAUAUAUUCACGAAAAACAUAAAAAAGAUGAUCUAGAUGGAAAACAAUGGUUUAAUACCCCAAAAAAAAUAUAUAAGAGAGGACUCAAAAUCCAACUUUUGUCCGAACAAAGGCCCAUUUGGCAAGUGAGUUUUUGGAUAUUUGUUUAAAAUUUUACUGUAAUUUACUGUAAAAGUUGUAAAAAAAAAUUUUUAAGUGUGUAAAUUUUUGAAUAUUUUGAAAUGUAUACUUUAAAAUUUUUAAGAAAUUUUUAAAGGUUAUUGUAUCUAAAAUUAUUAAAAAAUUUGAAACAAACAAACUUGGUCAAAAAUUUGCUUAACAAACAAGGCCUAUGCACAGACAAGGAAAAGUGAUUAAUCAGCCACUAGAACCAAUAAUCUAGCUAUGAAAUAAUAUCCAGGACAAAAUAAGAAAGAAAACUGAGGAGUACUAGGCUCCUAGGCAAAAUAAGAAAGAGAACUAAUACAAGGCUCUUCCUCGUUAGCUGGAUUGAGUUUUUCAGGGCAUGACACCUAAACAGCCAUUCUCUAGUAUUUUCUAGUUUACGGCAUCAUCGAAAGCUCAGUCUCAGCUUCGUCGUGUGCUCAAGUUGUUCGUGUGAUCUUUUUAUAUGGCAGGCAGUAUUUGCCGGAAAAAAAUAGAAGAUAUCAAUAAAUGCUUCAGCCACGAGAGAGAGAGAGAGAGUACAGCUGGAAAAUACAGAGGAUAUCAAUAAAUGCUUUAGCCACAAAAUAGAGAUAGAGAGAAAGAGGGAGGGAGAACAUCAAUACAGCUGUCUCUGUUUUCAAGUUCCAAUCGAACAGAGAUCUCACACGUAACAUAAUUGAGUAAUGAUGCUACAGAUUACCGGCAUUUACCCAAGGUGCUGCUUGUUUCAGAGAAAUGGAUUGCCCGUAGCCAUGUGGGUCUUGAAGAUGGGCCUUUCAUGUAACGUCCGUAGCUGUGCGCGUGGUCCACAGCCAUAAGCCUCGCUACCCAUGAUCCAUACACCAAAUUCCGGCCUAAAAGUCUCAAUUUCAAAAAAUAAUUCACCACCAAGGCCUCCGUCUGUCUGACACAGCAUUGCUCAAGCGUGCGAAGCCCUCCCCUGUUAUCUGUUAUCGUCUGUGACUGACAUCGCAUCCCACAGUCAAACUUCACGUUCGUCUGCUAUUUAAUGGAACUUCAAUUCGGCCUGCAUGCUCCAAAUACUCUCUAUAAACUGUAAAAUAUACACUUGCUGCUGCAAUGAUUGAACAAAGACAUCUGCUCGGUUGGUUUCGGGAUGUAUAUCUUUUGACUAAAAACCUGAAUGUGCACCAUUUUCUAUGCUAAUGCACAUUUUUAUAUAUAAACAGGAUGCAAAGAAAACUUGCUCUAAACCCUAAUCACGCUUGCUUCUAUGAUCCCAGUACUGUUGUUCCCAUGUCUCUGCCUGCUUUAUUGAUCUUUGUUUUCUGUCAAUUAUAGAAUGAAACGUUGCGGGGUCAUAAGGAGGCGGUAUGACGCAAGGAGUUUCGCUGCUGGGGCCUCUAACUGUGGAAUCCAUCAUGAACUUCUUCUCAAAUCCCUUUGCAGGGCAAGCCAUCAAUUCUGAACAAAGUUCAAUAGCUUUUGGAGGAACACUAGGCUUGUAUUUGAGAAGCUUUGCGUACCCAUUCAAUAGAUGAAACAUGUAAUCGUAGACAAAAUCCAUUUUCAGAUCAUCUUGAACAAACUUACUUGCAGCUUUACCAAUGGUCUGCGCCUGUGAUAUAAGUCAAGCAAAACACAGUCCUUAAAUAAAUCUGCUCAAUAGCUUGUUAUCAAGAUUCUGUUAGAAUGACCACAACAAUGGUAAGAUAAAAACACACAAGUUCCACAAGCAAAUGGAAGGAGUAACUAAUUUUCUAUACUCUGAUCCAAGCAAAACUAUCAAAUUAGUUAAGCAUUUUCAGAAUCACUGUUAAACUACUGCUAUCAAUUAACAUGUCAACUAUCAAAAGGCUAGCCUUGAUUUCAAAUAGUGAUAAAUGAACAUGCAGCAGAACCUCAAGCCGAUCAAUAUAAAUUUUCCUCCCAUAUAAGCUAUAAUGGGACAAAAAGAGAUGCAGUUUGAAUCUUGCAAGUGCUCUGAAUCAAGAGCUUACCUUCUCCUCAUUGCUACUUCCCCAGUCAACAGCAUACUUUAUAGAUCGACACUUGCCAUCAUCCCUUAUGGGCCAGUAGUGUUGUAAAGGCAUCAAACCUCUUGUAAAGAAAUCAUAGUAUCGAGGCUUCACUACUAAAGUUACAGAAUCACAGGCCAAAAUGUACUUCUCACUGACAGACCAUGCAGAUCCUUCAAUAUAGAUUUUAUAUCUGCAUCGUUCAGAGAGGAGGGGGGAAUCAAUUGAAUUCUGGAUUAAGUAGACAAAGCAGCGCAUAAGUGAUAAAACCAUUGUGCGAAUGCUUGACAUGCAUAUGUUUGAGCAAUCUAUUCAAGCGCGCACCAACCACAUAAAUAAUAACUAAAAAGAGGAGAUGUCAUAUAGAAGAUUUUUUUUUGGGGAGGGGAGGGGGGCUUUGGAAAUGGAAAAAUGAGCAACAGUUCCCGGGUAAAAUGAAGACAUCAAAGCCAAUUUAAAUCAUCUCAUACUUGUGGAUGCAUUGGCUUGCCAAGUCGGACUGUUUGUAACCUUGUUGCUGUUCCUGAAUCCAGUCCUGUUAGAGUAUAGAAUGUCAUAAUUGUUAGCACUAAUAGUUUGUCAGUAAUAGUUUCUAGAUCUCUUCUACAAGUUUGGAAAAAUCCAUCUUAGAUGCAAAUUGGCAGUAACUAAAGAAUGGUGCUUUCUAUGGAAAAUCUAGUGAUGAUUCCUCGUUCAUAUGAUAAAACAAGUGCAAGUUGAGGUCUUCCAUGUAUGAGAGGCCAAUUUUAGAAAAUGGCAAAUCCACCAGAAAUAUUACCAAAUAACGUGUCUUUCCUCGUGGAUACACACCUUCGCUUAACCGAAGCCUUCCAGAAUUAAGUUACAUAGCUAAACUGUUCAAUUUUAGAGUGUGCCAUUUUGCAUUUGAUCAUAGAACAAAUCAAGAAUAUUUUUGUACUAUGGCUACAAUGCAGAACUGCUUAUACAAGAUGUGUAAAAUCUUAACUAGUUUUUGCAAUGCAAGCUUCUCGAUGAUGUAAACUUUGUCCGGGUAUGCAAAAACUAAAACCAUUACCUGAGCAUAAACACGAGCACCCCAGUCCUGUUUGUCUGAAGCAUUACAUUUGAGCAAGUCCAUCCUGGUUUCUGCAACAUGGGGGUUGCCCUUCCAAUAAGCAUACGGUUCCCUAUCCACCCAUCUACUCCUUUCAUUCCCUCGUUUAAGAUCCUUGGACAAAGCCUCCCAAGGCUUUACAUUGAUUUCAGGCCUGGAAAUUGUUGUUCCAUUAAAGAAAAAUCAAAAUUAGCUCACCAGGAAUCCUGAUUGAUUGUGCUGUUGUAACCACAGAAACGCCUACAACAAUGCAAUGGAACAAAAUAAAGUUCGUACCAACCCCAGAAUGACCAAUCUGGAAAAACAAUGUCCAAUGUGGUAUCAUCCCCGCAAUAGCGAAACAAAGGGGGCGGAGCCGUAGCAUUGGGCCCAUGGUAAGUAUCUUUCUUGAUAACUGGCCAGUCAACGCAGUCAAACAUGAGAUCCAAGUCAGGAACUUGACCCGGGUACCUUCUUAGCAGCUGUAAAAUCCCCCAUAGAGUAAAAGUGUCUCUACUUUGAAAUGCUUUUUGAUAGGUCUCCACAUAAGCUGUUCCGUUGAGUAUUACCAGUCGAAAAUUGGCCGUCUUGGAAGCCGUCUUCACCAUGGCUCUUGUAAUCCCAGUCUCCCUCCAGGGCCAUAGAUCUUCAUGGAUCCAACGGAAGUAGUCCGGACACGUCAGCUGUGUUGUGGUUGAAGCGGGGUGAGGGUUUGGUUUUGAAAAUUUUGAUGGGUAGUAAUUGGGCGGGCACGUCCGGGUAGCGUCACCCAGUGAACAAUUCAGCGGGAUUUCAAGUUUAUGUCUAUGGUUUUUGGGGUUUACGGGGAUGGUGGCAAAACUUGAUUUCUUUGGGGAAUUUACAGAGAGUGACUGCCAAUAGUGAAAUCGAGUAUGAGAUGGUAGUAGCAAGUGAAUAAAACAAACAUUGAGAGAAAUCCUACUCCACGUCAAAACAAUUCAAAAAACAGAACUAGAAAAUGGGAAAAACAGACACCGGAAGAAGAAACCAAGACUAUAAGUGAAAUGGAAAAAAAAAAAAAGAUCAACAGUAUAUUAUCACAUUAAUGAAUAACUUAUCAUUUAUUUUUUUGGAGCAAAUUUUAUCUAAAAAAAUUUAAUGCACGUUCGCCAAGUUGAAUGCUAAAUUGAAUUAUCAAACCACGAGUAUAUUUGAAUAUAUAUCACUAAAAAGUUCAUCAAUUAUUUCAUGAAACAAAUUUUAUUUAGGAAGUUUAGUAUCAUUUAAUAUAUUCAUAUGUUCUUGUUUUAUUAUCAAACAUGUCUGAAUUAAGAUCUGGAUUCUUAUAGAUUAAGUUUAAGUGACGAAAUAGGAUAUGAAACAGGACCUUAAUCUCAAAAUUUGCAAUAUUCAAAUGCAACCAUGAAAAUAUGAAUAACUUACCUCUUUCACAACUAUAACUUAAAAAAAAAAAAAAAAAAAAACCUGCAUACCGUAUUUACUUUGUUAUCAGUUCAAUGCGUUAACUUCUCUUUAACCAAAAAAAUAAAAAUAAAAAUUGUGAUGAAUUAGCACCGCAAAAAGGUUUUUACAGUUUUACUGUCCAAUAAAUUGUACGGAAAAUAAAAAAGUAAAAAACUCUAGGUACAGUAAUAAAUACGAGUACGAUGCAACAAAUUCCAAAAAUUUUCAAGUUAUUCUUGCAGGGUGAUAGGCGUCAGAGACAGAUGAGCACAAUGUACUCUGCGGCAGUGAAUUAUAGUACUUCAGUAGCAGAAGACUAGAAAUCUGACGGCUUGUCAAUUGUGAUACUUACUGUAGCAGAAGCACUAGAAAUCUGUUAAAAGUACUUACAGUAGCAGAAGAAUCCAGGAAACGCGUCGAGAAGAAGGCUCCGAUGCACAGAAGAAUCAAGAAAAAUAUCGCCAGAGACGAUCUGGCUACAGUGUUCUUAGCUAGCAGUCUUGGAAGCCCGAUCUUCUCAGCGGAAUGCCUAUACUGCCCUGAUCCGUUCAGCAUACUCUGC
rnacentral:lncRNA from 1 species